AGGGUGGUGGAGGAACCAUCAAAACUAGCUAGGAUCAUGAAUGCCUGCUUAAGUGGAGAAAACUUCCCUGAAUCGUUAAGAUCAACUGGGGUCAUAUUCAAGGCUUCGUUUAUUUUAGCCAGUGCUUCCUUUGCUUCUUCUUUAGAAUAAACAAUUCUAGAGCUUGAAAGCUCGUACUCUAAGAUAGUGAAGAAUGUGUUCAUGUCUUCCUCAGCAGGCUGUUCAAGUUCAACGGCCUGAAAUGGCGGAAAAGCAAUCAUAGUGAUACAUACAUAAAAGGCAUUAUUAUUAACAACUAAUUUGAUUGACUUACCAGAGUUGGUGAAGGAUUAAUGACUUCUACUGGUUUGGUGGUUGUAGUUUUCUGGUUGCCUAUGGCUGCCUUAACACAAUCACCUUCCUUGGUCUUACGUUUACCCAAAACAGUUUUGACUAUAAAUUCAUGUGAAAUCAUAUCUACAGUCCGACCAGUGAAAACGUAGGCUUCAACCAAGCAUGCAUCAUUGAGGAGAUAGCCUCUUUUAGGGUCGUGUAAUUCAGUAAGACGUAAGAAUGAAGUGAAUCCCCAAUCAGCCUGCCUCGCGUUGAAACAAUGGUGAGUGACUGCCAAAAACAACAGUGCCUUAUCAUCAACAACCAGUUCAGUCCAGAAGCUGACAGACUCUACGAAGAAAGGAUGGCAUAGAUAAAAUAUUUGGCAUCUGGACUUCAACAGUUUUGACCAUACCAACUCCUCAAACAAGCAGAGCUUUAGGUAAUAUGAAUUCAAAGCUUCCUUUAUAAACCCCGAAACUUCUUCGUAAUGGCUCUUCCAUGCUUCAUUACAUUUUAUAUUGUCAUUUGGUUCUAGUCUAUCAUUUCUAUUUCUAUGUAUGCUUGUACGUGGAAAGCUCAAGCAUUCCCCAAUGAGACAGAGCCCCAGGUGAACAUACAAAAUAAAUGCAAAACAGAACAAGAGGAAGCAAUAGCCAUUGUUUUCCUAAAGCUUUGAUAAAUGACAAGUAACCGAGUAAAUAACAAAAAGAGUUGAAUUACACAAUUGGUUCACGCAGUCACACUUAAGACCUAGCAUUAAACAUAUCAAUGACCCUUCCCCUAUUCCUAUACUAUGGCUAUCUAUAGGUGAUAAUACUCUAAAAUGGCAUACUUGUAUGUAUUAAUUACAUGUAUAUUUUGAGUACAAUCUUACUAAUUUGAAUUGUUUAUGAUUUUUUAUCUUAUAGAGAUUAAAUUGAAGACAAAAGGAAAUUUGAGGCAAAAAGUGUGAAUUUAAAGAUAAAACAGGUCAGCAUACGAAAUAGGGAAGAAGUGAUACCGAAAAUACAAAAUGUGGAAGAUUUGGAGCAAAAUUUUAAAGAAGAGAUUUAUGAACAUUAGGCUUUGUUUAAAUUUGAAAUUUAUUUUUAGGAUUAUUGCUAGAAUUAUUAUAUUGUUUAGAUUUAAUUUCAAAUUAUAUCUUUUAAACAUUAUCAUCUAGAGUUUAAAUAGAAACAAACUAAUAUAUACUAUAAAUAAGGGAUGAAGUGACAUGUAACACCCUUUACCCGUAUUUGUUGUCAGAAUAGGGCACGAGGCAUUAUCGAAGUUUACUGAAUAUUUUCAAUAAUUCUGAAUCAUUUAUUAUUCAUAUUCUGAAAAUAAUCAUAACAUCAUUUAUUGGGCCCUCGAAGCCCAAAACAUUUAUUAGGAACCUACUGGGAUUAAAUUGGAAUCAUAGGAAAUUUUUUUGCAGAAUCCUAUUUAUAUAUAUAUAGAUUUUAGAAAAAAAUUUUAUUUCCGAAUUAGGUGCAGGAUUCAUACGGGCGUAUCACAUAACAAAUCUUUUCAUAAGAAAUUGCAUAACUGAAACUUUUCCACUCUUUCAUACGCUCAAUUAUAUUUUCAUCUAAGCACUUACCAUUCCAAUGCACCUUAUAAUUAAACAUAUUACCAUUCAACAGUAAUUUGAUACUUGCCUCAACUUUAAGCAACAACAUUGGUUAGCAUACUUUAAUACUAACAAACUUAUUUUCUCGCCAUGUCUCACUUAAUUAUAUUACUCGUCUUAAUACACAUAAUUUUCCUUGUAUCAACAUAUCAAAGAUAGUCUCAUAUUUACAUGUCAUGAUACAUAUCAUUUUCUUUUUGUUUCUUCUUAAAUAUAAAUUAUUCAAUUCAUUAUGACAAUAUUUCAUGUACCAUAAAUUUUUUAUAAGUUCAAUGUAUAUUUAUUCCAGUAGCAGUUCAUAAUCUUGAAUAUGCAUAAUUAUCAGGCAAGUUCCACAUACAUGUAUUUUCCAUGUCAUAUUUUAGUAUAUCAAAUAAUUAUCAUUUCUAUGUAUUUCAAGUUUAAUUUCAUGAUUUUAAGUACUUAUCAUUUUCUAUUUUUAUCCCGUUGAAUUUUUUGGAAUUUCGAUGGAUUUUUAGGGGUACACUUUAGUGUACAAAUUCGGGUCCGUCAAUUCAUAUUCAUGUGCGCACAUUUUCCAAUUCAGAGAGCACACUCUCGCAAACCUCAUUUCUUACAGCAGGAUUACCAAUCCAGGCUAAAUCCCCUGCAAUAGAGCACAGUUCUACGAACCUCAUUUCUUAUAGCGGAAUUACUAGUCCAGGCUAUAUCCCCUACAACGACAAUUACUCUAAUGAGCUUAGAUCUGAAUUACCAGUCCAGGCUAAAUUCAAACCCUAAUUCGGUUUACCCGUCCGGGCUAAAUCCAUUUCCCACAUAUUCUUCGGGAGAGCUAUAUCAUGAUAGGAUCACUUGUCCAGGCUAGAUCCUUUUUACCGUCAAUUCCUUUUCAGAGAUCUAUCGAAUUUUCCUUCCAUUCAACUGAGAUUUUUUUUCCUUUUUGUCAAAUAUAUCAAUGUUUCAUCAAUUUUCAUACAAUGAACAUUCAAAUCAUAUUCACAUCAAUAACAUACAUUUCAAGCAUUUAAGAAUAUAAUUCAAGUUACACGAACUCACCGGGCUAAAUUGCAGAAUUAUCAAAAUUCAAGGACAUUUUGAUAAUUUUCUAUUUUUCUCGAAUUUUCACCCAAAAUUUGAUCUAAAUUAAUAUUUCAUUCAAUUUAUUAAUUUAAACGAUAAAAAAAUUCAUUUCAUGCAAUUUGGUCAUUUUUGACAUUUUUACAAAAUUACCCUUAAAAUUUUACUUUUAUUCAAUUUAGUCCCUGAACCUAAAACAUGUAAAUUAACUAUUUUAAAGUAAACUCAUAUUAGCUGAAUAUUAACAUAUAUUAAUUUUCCUCCUCCUCCACUCCAAUCCACAUCCUUGAUACAUAUAUAUUACCACUAUUUACUUGUUUACUCAUAACAAAUUGUUCACUUGAGUCAUAGUCACUAAAUUAAUUAUAUAUUGAGAUACAGAGCUCCAAAUUAAGAUCCGUAAAUUUUAUAUAAAACUAGACUCACAUAUUUUCUUACCAUAAAAUUUUGAGAAUUUUUGGUAUAGCCAAUAAGUACAGUUUAUUCUUUAAAUGCAUCCUUAUUCUGCUGUUUGACAGUUUUGACCCUUCUUUACUAAAAACUAAUUAUCUCUUUAUACAGAAUUCGGAUGAUGUUAUAAUUUGUUUCUUUUGAAAAUAGACUUAUUAAGGAUUCUAAGCAUAUAAAUUAUAACUCAUAAUCAUUUUAGUACAAUUUUUAAUGACUUUCCAAAGUCAGAACAGGGGAACCCGAAUUCAUUCUGAACUUGUCUCACCAAAUUUAUUAUAUUUCAUAAUUUACAAUUCCAUUGGUUACACCAUUUCUUCUAUGAGAAACUAGACUCAAUAAAUAUUUAAUUUCAUAUUUUUUUAUCUUCUAAUUCAAUUUCCAUGAUUUAUAGUGAUUUUUCAAAGUUAACCUACUGUUGCUGUCCAAAACUGUUUUAGUGCAAAAUGUUGAUUACUAAAUUUAUAACACCCUUAUUCCCUUUCUCUAUAGUAUUUCCCAUCACUUUAUCUUGUUUUUCUUCACUAAAAUAUCAAGAAAAUAAAACCUUAUAUAAUAAAACCCUACAUUAACAUCAAUUUCAUACUUUUUCAAUAAUAUCAGACUCAAAAAUAUAUUGAAAUCUUGAUGUUCUUACCUUGCUCUAUUAAUUUCAAUCUUUUACUUGAUUUUCUCUCUCCUCCAGCCUCUAUGUCUUGAAUCUAACUUGAUAUUCUAGCUCCCCAUAGUCUCCUUAUCAAUUUUCUCUUUUGGUGGCUAUGGAAAUUUCUUUAAAUUCUAAGUGAAAAUGGUGAAUUUUUUGUGAGGGGACUAAAUUGUAAAGAAAGCAAAACUUUCUUUCUUUCUCUCUUCUUCUCACGUUAAUGCAUGGAAAAAUGGUGGGAUGGUGGCUUCCAUCUUUUUUUUCCAUAUAUAUAUAUAUUACUAUAUAAGAUAAUAAAAUAUCAUUAAGAAAAAAAAUCAAAUCAAAAUAUAAUAAACUAAUAUUUAUUUAUUUAAUCUAAAAUAUCUCCAACAUCAUCAUUAUUUUCUAGAUUUCUCUCUCCUCUAAUUGACCAUUUUGCUCUUUAGAUAUUUUAAAAUUCCAUCCUUGAGUCAUCACUUAGUUUGGUAAAAUUACAAUUUAGUCCCACAUAAUUCUUCAUCUAUUCAAUUUGGUCUCAAUUCAUCCAUUUUCCUUAGUUUCUAGAUUAUUCCACCCUUAAAAUAUUUACACUAUUGAUCCUUCAACUUUUUCAUAUUUACAUUUUAACCCCUCAAUUUUUGAGUAUUUACUAUUGGGUAAUAAAACUUUUCUCACUUUUACAAUUUAAUUCUUUCUUGAAUUAAUAUGUCAUAAUAUACUUCCCAAUGUUGUCGUAACUCAAAAUUCUUCUUUUUGUCACUUUAUUUCCUUACUAUAUCAAAAAUAAUAUCUUAUUGUAAAAAUUUUCGGGGUAUUACAUUUCUCUCCCCCUUAAAAUAAAUUUCGUCCUAGAAAUUUCCUUGUUUUACUAUAUCAAGAAUAUCUACUCUCUUACUGUAAUAAUUUUUGGGAUCACAUAUCAGCUUAGAACUUUUAAAUAAAUUGAGUGCUCAAAUGUCAAAAUUUUCGAACGCAAUUUUCACAAAAUCAUUCCGUGAAAUUGUAGACCAUAAAAAUAAAAUUUUCCUCGUCGGAUUUGUGGUCUCAAAACUACUGUUCUGACUAGACCUAAAUAUCGGGCUGUUACAACUCUCCCCCUUUAGGGAUUUUCGCCCCGAAAAUCUUACCAAAAGAAAUUACUUCCAACUCUCAUGAAAUACUUUCACUAACUUUCCAAAAUCACUAAUCAAUUUAAUCUCAUAUAUCUCUAUAUCAUACUUUCUGAAACAUAUUUUUUUUUCAUUUUGACUAUCUAUCUUCAUACUCAUGAGUGCACAGAAUUUAUUCUCUUAGCUGAGGACAUGCUUAAAUACAUGUAACUUAAAUCACAUGUCAAUAAUUCAAUUCACUUUAAUAAAACAACUGUAUUGAUUUCAACUAUCAAACACUAACAUAUCAAGAUACUAUUUUCUUAAUGCUGAGGAUACAACUUAAACACUCAAUCUUUCAACAUUCUUUUAGCAUGCAAACCAAAGAUCCUUUAACUGUAUUAGUUCAAGGAAACAUAUAUUUUGAUUGAACUUAUUAACUUUAAUCAAAUUUACCUGAGGAAAAAUUCAAUCAUACAAUUUUAAGUUUAUGCUCCCAUUAUUUAUACCCUUACUGAUGACAAUUCCUUACACAAAAUCAGAAAAGUCCAGAUACCAAAAUCACCACAUUUCAGCUCUGGAAUUUCAUCGUAGCAAAACAAUACACUUUUUAAAUAUGUAUGCAAAACAGAAUAAUAACUAGUCAUAAACCGACCAGACCAACAGGGUUUUCGUCUAACAUCAUAAUUAGCUAACAUUCUCAUAACAUAAGAACUCCAUUAGAAACUGAACAAUUAUACACAUAUCUCUGAGGAUAAAAGAAUAUAUAGAAUAUCCAAAAAAGAUCAUCGUGUUCAUUUCGAUUGUAAUCGUGACACACAGGCAUUUUUACCACUUAAUUAUCAUUUCUCUGACAAAUUUUGUUAUUACGAACCUCACAUUAUUCCAUUUACUAACAAAAAUCAAUUCAAAAGAACUUCCAGUUAAUACAUGCAUUCUUUAGGUAUCAUACCUGAAUAUUUUGUCUCAUCAAAUUUAACCUCUUCGUUAGUUCACAUUUAUGAGCUUAUUCAACCUGAUUCUUGUAAAAAAAUUCAUCAUAAAGCAAUACUGAUAAGGGGGUGAUGGUGAGGUCAUAAAGCCUCUAACUUACUCUCAUAAAUACAUAUAUAUAUAACUUAGCUUUCAUCAUCAAUGUAAUACCAUCAUAACCACAUAGUUCAUUCCAAGCAAAUUAACAUAUCUAUUUAUUACAAAUGUUUUCUGUCACUCACAAUUUCACACAAUGGAUUUACUUACUUGAGCUCAAUAUUAAUAUCUAAUUAAAUUUCAAUACUUGGCUUCCAAUUUACUUACUGACAUUUGUCAAAUUAGAGAACGUCUUACGGAAUUGAGUACUUUAUUUUUUCGAUGCCAUAGUCAAACUAUGGUAUUACAUGUAGUCACAUAUCACAUACCGAUGCCAUAGCCCAGCUAUGGUCUUACACGGAAUCACAUAAUCACAUUUUCACAUGUUGCCAUGGUCAAACCAUGGUCUUUUCUGUCAAUUCAUCACAUAUCACUGAACGAAAGUACUCAUCCUGCGUUCUACUCAAUUUGAUCUUCCAAUUCAAUUUUCAUGCUAUUAUAAUAUUUAUAGUUCAAUAAUAAAGACAUAAACAAAACAUCAUAUAUUCUAAUUUAACAAUUAAACAUAAGAUUCUAUCAAAUAAAUAUACUGAUUACACUUAUUCAAGCAAGUGUACAUAAACACACAUUCCAUUUAUUUGUGUAUAUUUGAUUACCAUAUUUACUUAAUCAAAUAUGUUGAGGACAUAACAUCAUAUGCACACCAAGCAAACACGGAUGGGCUUAUCACCAUAUAAACUUUCAUUUUAUUCUACGUUUCCACAUUUCUCAUCUCAACUUAUGGUUAUCUCAUUUCGUACAUUAACACAUACUUAUCAUGAACUUCUAUUCAUACUUUUCUAAGUUUCAUUUCAUCAUAAACACAUUUCAAUCACAUCAAUAUAAAAUUUUUAGCAUUUUUGGAAACAGCUCGAUUGGAAGUAAUACGGCAUUAUCGGAUAUCACGCUAUCACGAGUAAUAAUACGUCAUAUAUAGCUAGACUCACAUACGCUAUGUUAGUCCGAGAACAAACUAAAGCGUAGCUCUGAUACCAAUAAUUGUAACACCCUUUACCCGUAUCCGUUGUCGGAAUAGGACACGAGGCAUUUCUGAAGUUUAUUGAACAUUUUCAAUAAUUCUGAAUCAUUUAUUAUUCAUAUUCUAAAAAUAAUCAUAAUGUCCCUUUAUUGGGCCCUCGAAGCCCAAAACAUUUAUUAGGAACCUACUGGGAUUAAAUCGGAAUCAUAGGGAAUUUUCUACAAAAUCCUAUAUAUAUAUAGAUUUUAGAUUUUUUUUAAUUUCCGAAUUAGGUGUAGGAUUCAUACGGGCGUAUCACAUAACAAAUCUUUUCAUAAGAAAUUGCAUAACUGAAACCUUUCCACUCUUUCAUAAGCUCAAUUAUAUUUUCAUCUAAGCACUUACCAUUCCAAUGCACCUUAUAAUUAAACAUAUUACCAUUCAAUAGUAAUUUGACACUUGCCUAAACUUCAAGCAACAAAAUUGGUUAGCGUACUUUAAUACUGACAAACUUAUUUUCUCGCCAUGUCUCACUUAAAUUUAUUACUCGUCUUAAUACACAUAAUUUUCCUUGGAUCAACAUAUCAAAGAUAGUCUCAUAUUUACAUGUCAUAAUACAUAUCAUUUUCUUGUUGUUUCUUCUUAAAUAUAAAUUAUUCAAUUGAUUAUGACAAUAUUUCAUGUACCAUAAUUUUUUAUAAGUUCAAUGUAUAUUUAUUCCAGUAGCAGUUCAUAAUCUUGAACAUGCAUAAUUAUCAGGCAAGUUUCACAUACAUGUAUUUUCUAUGUCAUAUUUUAGUAUAUCAAAUAAUUAUCAUUUCUAGUAUUUCAAGUUUAAUUUCAUGAUUUUAAGUACUUAUCAUUUUCUAUUUAUAUCCCGUUGAAUUUCUCAGAAUUUUGAUGGAUUUUCAGGGGUACACUUUAGUGUACAAAUUUGGGUCCGUCAAUUCAUAUUCAUGUGAGCACAUUUUCCAAUUCAGAGAGCACACUCUCCGAACCUCAUUUCUUACAGCAGGAUUACCAGUCCAGGCCAAAUCCCCUGCAAGAGGAACCUGACUUUAACCAACCAUCACUUUUGUGAGACCGUCUUACACUAGAUCACCAUUUCUUAAUGGCGAAUGCCAUGCCAUUUCAUUUCUUGGGCUCGAUAACCUGUGACGUAGUAAGUUUGCGAACCGACUGUGUAACAUUCCCAAAACAUACAAUAAGACAGCCUUUGCACAAGAUGAAAAUAUUACUUUUGGAACGAUAUGGACAGAUGCGUCAUUCCCGUAAUGCAGAGAAAUGAUGAAUACUCAUUGAGAAGGGCUAAGUGCAGGUUCUAAGCUUAAUGAACUCUUUUGGAUGAGUCUUGAUAACCUUGGCUAGAUGAGUUUAGUGGCUCAUGUUUUUUGGGAAAAAAAACACAAGUUUAAUAAAAAGAAAUUUUAUUAGAAAAGAAAAAAAGCAAAAAUGAUCAAAGCCUUAUAGGGAAUAAGCAUUUACAACAAUGAUGAGUUAAUAUUCAUGUCACUCCAUCUCCUAUUUAUAGUACAUAAAAAAAUCUAGUUUGUUCCUAUUUAAACUCUACAUGAUAAUAUUUAAAAGAUAUAAGUUGAAAUUAAAUCUAAACAAUAUAAUAAUCCUAACAAUAAUCCUAAAAAUAAAAUUUAAAUUUAAACAAAGUCUUAUUUCAUAAAUCUCUUCUUUGAAAUUUUGCCCCAAGUCUUCCACACUUUGUAUUUUUGGCACCACUUCUUUCCUAUUUCAUAUGUUGACCCGUUUUGUCUUUAAAUUCACACUUUUUGGCCCCAAAUUUUCUUUUACCUUCAAUUUAAUCCCUACAAGAUAAAAAAACUAUAAACAAUCCAAAUUAGUAGGAUCGUACUUAAAAUAUAUAUUUAAUUAACCCAUAAAAAUAUGUCAUUUUAGAGUAUUAUCAUAUUCCUCGUACUUAGCUCAUACUUGCCCCAAGUAUGGUUCUUAUUCCAUUAUGUAAUUUAGAUUUACUAUGAAAGAAGUAUCACUCCAAAGUUUUAUAAACAUUAAGCAUAAUGCGUAUAAAAAAUAAAGAGAACAUUUAGCUUGCUUUAAGUAAAACCGAAAAGUGUUCCAACUUAAACACACAAAAGUUAAAUCGAGUUGAAUUCUUUCAUGAAAAUUAGAUAAUUUACAAAACUUACCAAGACACCCUAUUUGUUUCACCCUUAGUCCCCAAAUCCAAUUCUUUUUUUUUUCUUUUUUCCUUAAUUUUUUUCACUUAAGAAUGUAUUGGCUAUUUUGACGCAAAGUGAGAUUACAACCCAAGCACCCCACCUUGGUUAUUCAGCCAAACACACUCUUAAUUUUUUUUUGUUUAAUUCCGGUUAGUGGAAUUUUAUGUAACACGUCACACAACAUUUUACGCGAAGUAGGAUGAUAACUCAAACACCUUACCUUGGUUACUUAGUCGGUCACGUUUUAAGCUAUGCUCAUAACCACGGAAUCAUCAAAUUUUAUUUAGUCAAAAAUAAUUCAAUUUAGUCAUUAAUACUAUCAACAUUUAAUAUUUUAGUCACUCUUCUAUUAAAUUAUAAACAAAAACAAAAUUGUUUAGUUUAGUUUGACAAAGACUAAAAAAUUUUAAUCCUAUAGGACCUCUUGGAUUCCAUAUUCUACCCUUGUAAGUAUGAUUAGUUAAAGAGAAGUAAGGAUAAUUUAGAAAAUACAAACUUUUAAACGCAAUAUUAGACAAAAGCAAAACCAAUUACACAAAUUAAAUGCAUAUCUAGCUCAAAACACCAAUCCUAUAAAAUUCCUACAGUUAUUAAAUCUUUUCGUUAAUGGAAGAGAUGAAAUCUUUGAUUCUUGCCCAUUCAGCCUCAACACUCUUUCUCUUCUUCCAAGCCAACCCUGGCGGUGGCCUCAUAUACUGCCCAUUCCUUUCCCAGUGCAUCCAAUAUACGAAAUUAAUUAUUUAUUUGUAGCAGUAGUGAUUUGGAGAGCCAAUUGAAGGCUACUGCCGGUCGGCAAGCACACAGUAGUCAACUGAAAAGCAAAAACGCAGCAGCUUGUGCCAAGAAUUUUGGUUGGUGCAACAAUGGCCUUAAUCGGUUCAAUUUAGACCAGCUAUGGAAGCAAGUCUUGAAGGAGCAAUCACCCACUAUUUUUGGAUUUUGGAGCAAUUAGCAGCAUGUAGAACGGGUUAACAAUGAGAUAGUAAAGAGGCAUUAAAUUAAGCCAAAUAGCAGCAGAUUUUUGAACAUGUUCGGUAACUGAUUUGUAAAACAAAGUGCAGCAAUUUUGGAACCAAUUGCAACUUGAUGUACAAGUGAGGAAUUUUCGGUAAAUGGCAGCAAAGUAGCAAUACCUUGGAGGUGAAGCAAACUGAUUAAAGAAGGACAAAUUAAGAGAAAAAAAAAACACUUGCUCACAUAACUUUAAUAUAUUACCUUAAAAUGAAACAAAAGUAAAGUACGCACAGAAUCAAGGCCAAUAGAGGGUUGCAGCAGACCAAAAAACAAAAUAUAUUACCAUAACAUGAAACAAAAGGAUUAAGCACUUCCAAAUAUGCUUAAUAGCAUAAGUUACUUUCCGUGCAAACCAUAAAUAUUAUCCUAAAGCUACUUAUCUAAGCACAAAAGUUUAAAAAUAUCAUUGCCUGCCACUCUAUUCGUCUUCGGACUUGUAAUAUAUCAGCGCCAACUUCGCUUGCUCAGCCACAAAUUCAGUUCGCUCCGCAAACAACUCAAACUGCGCCAUUUGCAAUUUCCUCCAUUUUGCCUCCAUAGCAGCCUUCUUUUUACCAUCAACCAUAUCCAACCCGACCUUUACAACUCCCACGUCCACGUCAGAGACACAAAAUAUCAUAUCAAGCAAACUACUGGAACUCUUAGACACCACCUUAUCGACCUCUAUUGGCCCCGCAUUGUCACUUUUCUUAUCGGAUGAAGAAGGCAACACAGCUUUCAAUGCAGCCACUGCCUUGUUAUUCCCCUUGGCUUUCCCAUUUGACUUGGCAGUUGAAGACUGAAGUUUUCCACUAACCCCCUCUUUGCCCCAUAUCUUUUUUCGACAACUCAAAAGCUUUCUGUUCAUGGGCUUUAGAGAAAUUCGAUCCUCACCCUUCUUAGAGAAAGUUAGCAACCGGUGCAGCGGUGUCCGAUUCGGAUUCGGAAUCAGAACCGGAUUCAUCAGAUUCAUCGUUAGCGGUUUCAAGCUUUCUGGAUGGUGGGGUCUUGUAGGUUUUGGGGUCUUCCUCAUCUUCUUCCUCAGAAGAAGUCACCUCUUCAUCUUCUUCUUCAGAGGAAAGAGCGGCUGGUGGGACUUCAACAGGGUAGAACGCUUCGGUGCCAUUGAGAAAGAGAGAGAGCCGAGAGGGAGGAUGCUACUUGUUUGUUUAAUGGUUUUAUAGGGAAAGAGGUACUGGGAGAUAAAAGUUUUUGUAUUCAGAAGGUUGCAUCAGUCAAACGGGCUGUAAAUUUGACAGAAACGAAGAGUUUUUAUUCACUAAUGGAAAUCUAAUUCAAGGUUACUAACUUUUAUGGAUGCUUUCAUACUUGAUUUUUACAAAAAAAUAUCAUUUAUAAAUAUAACAACAGUCCAUUGUCGUCCAGUGGUUAGGAUAUCUGGCUUUCACCCAGGAGACCCGGGUUCAAUUCCCGGCAAUGGAAAGGUACUUCAAUUUUUAUUGCUCUCCUUUUCUCUUACUGACACGUGGCACACACCCACCAGCUUUUUUUCAUUUUAUAAAUCAGUUAAUUUUCAACUUUAGUUUUGAGAUUUAAUUCUUGUACUUCAAUUUCAAUUUUAGUCUUAAUAUGCUUAAAUUUGACAUUUAAUCCUUACACUUUAAUCUCUAACACCAUUUGGUCUUUAUAUUUUUAUAAUUAUUUUAAAUAAUUAAUAUCAUUAACUUUUCAAUUAAAUGUGGCUACAUAUAGUUUAAAAAUAAUAAGGUGCAGAGAUUAAAUUCUUCAAAAUAAAUGUUAGAGAAUUAAAUUAUAAAUAUACAAAGUGUAAAACUUUUCCUCUAUAUUUAAAACAACCUUUUAAAUUCUUUUCGAAACAAGAAACAUAUUUUUUCAAAGUGCAGUUUCUAUGUUUGAAUUUGGAAUUAAGUGUAAACUAAAGACUUGAAUCUUAGGUUAACCUUAAAUCAUGCUUGGAACAUUUCAUUGAUAAAGAUUAUUUUUAUAUAAAUUUAAUUCUAUAUUAUAUUUUAACAGUAUUAACAUACAAAGUUAUGUUUUUUUUUUAAUUUUUAAUAGAAAUUUUUAAACAUGUAUAUAAAUCCAAUAUAUGAACACCACCUUUCUAUGUAAACCUUGUUAUUCGUAUAUUUUUUUCUUUUUUUAGGGGGUAAGAUAACGAAAUAGUUUGAUAUAUUAUUACAAGCUAAUUCUAUCUAAUAUCAUUUGAUAUGAAACUUUAGCCUUUUUACUUUAAAAAUAUAAAAAUAAACAAAAAAAAUAUCAAAAUGGUAUCCCACCCACAUUAUUUACCAAAAUGGUAUGUUGCGGGUCAUUUAAUUAAUGGCAUAGUAGGCUCAGAUAUGUUAAUUAUGGUACUUUACGUACAUAAAUUAACUUAGAGCACAUUCCUUCAUUUCACAAUAGUAAUUAUAAAUGUGAAACAUGUGUUGAGACAAAUUAAUAAAGGUAAAAAAAAUCACUGGAUCUAAUACGUAGCAAUGCUUGUAAAGCUUGGUUAAACGAGAGGAAGGAAUAAAAAUGUUUAUUACCUUCAUUACUACGAGCUAAGACGAAGAGAAUUUAUUCUCUAUAAGCAAGAAGUUGAAAACCAACUUAAUAAAUGAUUAAGUAAUCAUGAUGAUGGAUAUAUUGAAUCAUUUCAAUAACACCACCAUACUUUCCUAAAAUAGAGUAAUCGAGAAGAAAAUCAGAUUCUAAAAGAAAAGAUGAAUGCACAGCUAAAAAGCUUUAGGUUAUCACGUAAAAUGUGGGGGGAGCGUUUCUAUGCGUAAAUUACCUUUUAAAUAAGAUACCCCACAAGAAAAGGGACAAGAUGCUACAUAAGUUAUGGGAAGGUAGAAAACCAUCCGUGUGGGGGGUGUAUUGCUAGCGUAACAUAUAAUGGUAAGUCGAGACAUAUGCGACGUCAACAUAAUACCGUUAAACAAAUUAUCUCAAACGGAGUUAUCUAUAUUGAUUUUGGAAAAUUAAAAGAUAACAUUGCAGAUCCACUAACCAAAAGUUUAAAACGAGAUCAUGUUGUUAAAACAUCGAAAGGAAUGCGACUAAAGCCUAUGAAAAUAAAAGGCGCUAUGUGAAGGAAAACCCUACCUAGUUAACUGAAGAUCCCAAUAUCUAAGUUCGAAAGGACAACCUAAUUGUUCAGACCUUGUGAGGUCACUUUGGGGGUACUUAUCCCAAGUCCGUUCCUAUGAUGUAAACAUUGACUAAAAACGGGAUAGGUUAGGCAAUGCUUUUAAUAACCAUUGUAUGUUUCUAUGAGCCGAACAACAUAAGUCACCUAUGUGAGAGUGAAGUGAAGUCGCUUCAAUGAGACUAUUAGGGCAUAGUUCUCUCAAACUCUUGCAGAACCAGAAGAUGUUCACGGCUAUAUGAACAUACCCAUGAGAACUAAAACCUUGCCAGGGAGGUAGCUGUGUGAGGUAUAUCAUCGUUUACACAAAAGGCAGAACGGUUUAAGGACAUCACGUCUACUGGUCAGCUAGUAAAGUAAAUAUACUAUAGCAAGGGAAGGUUCAAGGGUGGAUACCUACCUAUCCUAUACAACUAUCGAUCGUAGAUUCUAUCACCACAUCGAGUCAAAGUUUUUCGAUAAAACUAUCAAUUUUCAUUCAUGUGGGGGAUUGUUGGAAAAAUUACAUUCUUAUGGGAAAUUUGAGGCAUAUUCUCAAUAGGUAAAGGUGGAGAAUUGAAUCAUAAUUUUAUGGUUCAUAUUCUACUCCAUGAGACCUUUACAACGGUAUAUCAUAUGCUCAAAAUGGUUGAGUGAUGAAUGAGAAAUUAAAGCUCAAAGUAAGCUACUUGGAAAUAUUAUUAAGGAAAAAUAAUAGGCUUAGACCCCACAUUGGUUAAAUACCAAGUAUGGGAUGUGUUUAUAUAUGUGAACUCUCUUAAAGGGUAAUUGAAUGACUAAGCUUGUAACUUUGCCUCGCGUGCAGGAAGGUGUAGGUCCAAACCCGAUAGGUUUGGGGUACACCCGCACAAUGUGGGUGACGCGAAAUGUCCGAACAGGUCGAAAAUUUAUAUUAGCCCAACACGAAUUUAUUUUUCCUCAGCAGAAAAAAUCUGCUUAUAUAUGGAAACUUAUUUUAUUAAUUUGAUUCUAAUAAAUCUGUUUAAAUUUUUUAUUUAAUGGCAGAUAUUGGGGAUAUUUUUUCCAAAAAUUCCAGCACUCUCUCCAUGCCUAUAAAAGGCGAUGAUUCUGAAAGUUUUUUGUACACUUUCAUACUCUCUAAGAAUUUCUCUUGCCGAAACUCUAUUAUUCUCAAGAAAUCUCUUUUUUCCAUCCUUCGUGUUUUAUAAAUAUUCCGGUGAUAGAAAAAUGCAUUGUUCAUUCGAUUGAUUGUGGUAGAUGUGCUACUACUUCGAUCAUUGUUGUUGUAUCUUGGGAGCCUUUCGACCAACGUUACUCCAAGUAUCGUAGAGCGGUCGAAUCUGUCUUAAGGAAACUGUGUUUCACGAGCCUCAACAUUUCGUAAAAUCUCAAUUCUCCUUUAUUUCAAUUGUUUAUUAUUGUUUUAUUUGAUUUUCAUAUUUGAUAAAUUCAUUAUAAAUAUUUAUGUUCAUAUUUUAUUUUACAUGUGUUUAUUUAUAAUUAAUUUAUUUUGUUCGCUAACAUGUUUUGUCCAACAUUUGAGGGUGUUGUAGAGGUGACACUACUUUAUACGGGUCAGUAAUAUGGGAUACGAGUACGUUAUUUUGGGGAUUUGGUGGUGCCUUCCUAACAGGUGACACUAGAUUGAUUAAACCCAUCAAUAUUGCAUUUUAGAGUUUUACGAGCUUAGGCAUUAACUGAGGGUUUCACUGGAAAAUGGGGUUUAGGGGUUUAUAAACUAUUUAGGGUGUUGGAAAAAAUUGUGCUAAUUCAAAAAAAAAGUGAGAGUAGAGAUUAGAGAAGAGAAGAAUGAGACGAUUUAAAGAAAACAAAGAAGAUAAGAUAAGAUAGAAGAGGGCUUAGAUCAGUAGAGAAAUAGAAAAGAAAGAAUAGGGUUUUUUUUUUAAAGAGAAAGAAGCAACAACAACUUAGUAGUAGAGAAGAAAAAAGAAAAAAAAGGUUUUAGGGUUUGAAAGGAAAAAGACGGUUUGAAAGGGAAAAAAAGAAGAUAAUGAAGUGUUUUGGGUUUAGUUUGGGGUUUUCAAAUUCUUUUCUUUUUAAAGGUAAUAUUUUUUAAUUAUUUAUUUUUUUAGUGUAGUGUUUAUUGUUAUUUUUAAUUGUUUUUUUUUUGUUUGAGGGGAGGAAGCAACACUUAAAUUGUUAUUUAAAAGUAAAUUGAUUUUUAUAGUUAUUUGUUAAUAUUUUUUGUAAUUAAUUCUUUUUAGUAUUAAAUAUUUGUUUGAUCUUAUAGUUUUAUUUGUUCUUUUAAAACAUCAAGCUAAUGAUUUAUUUUGAAAAGACAAGGUUGGUGUCGCCUCUACACCACCUUCAACCACCCACAACAUCCCAUUUUGGUAAAUAAUGUGGGUGGGAUAACAUUUUGAUUUUUUUUUUUAUUUAUUUUUGUAUUAUUAAAGUAAAAAAGCCUGAAAAAUUGAACAAAAAUUAAUAAACCCAUCACUUUUUGGAAGAGUGAAAUUCAUUUUAAGCAACAACCUAUAUUAAUUAUUUGUACGGAUAUAAUAUUUUUUUGGUAGAAAAUAAACAACAACUUCUACAAUUACAACCACUAGUUUUAUUACAAUACCAAAGCUUUAUUACGAUCCUCUAACAAAAUGUCUUUCACUGCAUGUAGAGGAGCAACAAAUAAUUGUAAACCAGCAAGAUGAAUGGCUAUUUUGGCCAAGCAAUCUGCAACUUCAUUCUAAGAUCUCAGCAUAUGCCGUAAUCAGAUUUCUCAUUCUUGGUGCAUCAUUUCAUGAAUCAACCGUAAUUCCACCAUUUUACUACUAGAAGCACUACCAGCCAAAAGAGAUUCAACCAACAACACAUUGUCACAUUCCAGUUAUAUUCGUCCAAAAUCAUUAUCCCAAACUAUGCAUAGUCCUUAUAAAAUAGAUCUAGCUUCAUUUUUAAAAAUCGAUUUCUUACCCAAUAACAUAGUAUAACCACAUUACCAUAUUGCAUUCAAGUCCCUCAACACACCUCCAAUUGAUGCAUUCGCAUUAUUAGAAGACACCGCCCCAUCCGUAUUUACUUUAAUCCAUCCAUCCUCCGGUGGUGCCUAAUAAUAGAUAGUGACCAUCUGAUUUGGCUAGAAUAGAUUGGAACUGGAAGUUGCAUAACUCUUUACCCAUAUGAGACCUGUAUCCACAAGAUUUUGAAUGCAAUUAUGUCUAUUAGAAAAGACAAAAUGAUUCCUAUUCUUCCAUAACAACCAAUAUAUUAUGGAGAAAAGAGUCCUCAAUUCAAAAUCCUUACUCCCACAAUGCCCCUUAUCUUGAAUAUUCCAAACUAACCAAUCCUUCAGUUGUAAUGAAAAGAAAAUAAUGUGAGCGUGAAUCGACACAACUAACAUCCAAAUCACCCUUGAAAAUGGGUAAUCCUGCAUAGCAUGAAUCCCAGAUUCGCAUAAAGUAGUACAUCUGGGACAAUUCCCACCAUUUGAUAUAUGCCUCAUCAAUCGUUCCCCAUUCAUUAACAAUAUAUUUUGCCAAAAAAGCCAAAGGAAUACUCAAACCCUUUAAGGUGUCUUAGUUUUCUAUAUCAAUUUCCACAUAGGAGAAGCCUCAUGACUCACCACACAAAGAUUCUUAUAUUCUCAAAAUUAGAGAAGUUCUCUUUCGACAUCCAUUUCCACGCUAGCUAAUCCAGGCCUGCAUCAGGAGUAGGUGGCAACACUGUUGCUAUUUGGUUAACAACGUUGUCAGGAAUCAAACUUCUUAACCGGGCCCAAACCUAAUCUCCAGUAGAAUAAAAAAAAUCACAAACAUAGAGUAUGUCAUCUGGCUGAACAAUCCCUCUAAAGAAAGCUCUGAGCUGACCAAUCUCCCGAAGUUAUACAUCAUUCUAAAAAUUAGAGAGCCCAACAUCACCAAUGGGCCAAAAAAUGUUGUCAAUUACCUCUAACCAAACUGCAUUCAACGAUCUCCAAAUGAAAAAACAGUUACUCCUCGCAAUUAAGGUUGGAACCCUUCCCAUGAACACGAUACUUUUUUCUUAACAUUUGAACCCACAGUGCAUCUAUCUUUGUAAGUAAUUGGAAACCUAAUUUCAAUAGAAAAAUUUUGUUUUGAUCCACCAAAUUUCGUAGUCCAAGCCCUCCAGAAUCGAGAGGUUUAUAAUAGUCUUUCUAAGAAACAAGCAUCGGUCUCCUAGCUUCGAAGCUAGUACCCUAAACAAAGUUACGUGCUAAUCUCCCAUUCUCCUUACAAAUCGAAACUGGUAUAUAUACCAUACUCAUGAAGUAGUUGGGAAUUGCUAGUAGAACAGAUUGGGCUAACGUUAUUCUCUCUGCCAGUGAUAAUUUUUUUUGCUUUCCAACCAUUGAGUUUGUUCCUUACCUUAUCAACCACAAACUUGAAUGUAUUCAUUACAGUUCUUUUCUAAAGUAGUGGCAUUCCAAGAUAACUUCCCAGAUCAUCAACUCGCACAAACCCUAUCUGACUGCAAAUUGUUGCUGCUAAAGUAUCUAAAGUGUUAUAAGAAAAAAGCACUUGUGAUUUGUUUCUAUUUAUCUUUUGACUCAAAAAGUAACAAAAAUCAUUCAAGAUUCCAUUGAUCAAAGCUGUCUGCCUCCUAUUCGCCUUACAAAACAACAUGAGAUCAUCGGUAAAAAAUAGAUUUGACAAAUCAGGACCACUCAUUGAUAAUCUUAAUAGGACUAAGUUUUUGUUCCACUGCAUAAUCAAUACAAAGGCCUAGUCAUUCCAUAUAGAGAAUAAAAAGAUAUGGAGAUAAAAGAUCUCCUUGUCAAAUGCAACGUGUCGGUUUAAACGUAUUCGUCGAAGAUGAUGACAUACAAUUUAAAAUAAUAGUAAUUAACAACCGUAGUUUAGAAAUAGUAUCAUCCAAAAAAUCUCAUCUAACUCUAUCAUAAUAGGAAAACUUUGUGAAAAGAAAAAAAUUAUGAAAAAAAAAGAGAAGAAAUGAGAAAUAUAAAAAAAAGAGAAAGAAGGAAGAAAAUAGGGGAAAGAAAUAUGAGAAAGAAAUUUGAGAGUUUCAAUUGUCAAAUAGGAUGACACGUGGUGACGCAUGAUUGGUCAGCACUGCCACAUCAGGAAAAAAAGUAACAGCGUUAGUCACAGGUACCAAACUAGUGGACGGAAAAAAGUUCGGAUAUUAAUCAACGACAAAAAAACUAUAAGUACCAAUAUGAGAUAAGUGAAAAAAUUCAGGUACCAAUCUAAUGUUUAACCCAAAAUAAAAACAUUUAUUGUACAAUUUACGAUGUUUACCUCAUCAUUAAUGGCAAUAUGUAUGGAUCGAUAAAAGUGAAAGAUAAAAAUUUUAUCUUAAAUAUAUUUUAUAUAUUAAAAUCACAUACAAAUAUAAUUAUCACAAUUAUUUAAAAUAAAUUUUAGCUUAAAUAUUACAUUUUCUAAAAAGUUGAUUGAAGAAACUCUCUCUCCGGUUGACUUUGUGAUUAGAACGAAUUCUGCGGGUAGGGCAACGAUGAAGGUUAAUCGAUGUACGGAUGGGCCCUCAGACUCGAUUGAUCUGACUGUAGAUGGAAAUGGAUAGCCCAUACAGAAUAAGAUUGUGAAUACGGCGAUGAUAUAUUAUAAAACUAAAUUGAUAGGUGAUCCGGUGAGUCACAAUUCGAUAGUAGAUUUAGAGGAAGAUUUUGAAUUGCAGGAUGGAGACGUGACCACGGUGCUAAUGGGUGGAGUCCCAUCGAUUACUUUCUUCGAUCAUGUUUAGCAAUUUAUAGCGCGAAAAAUGACCCUAACUGUUGUGGUGAAGCUAUUGGGGAAGAAGAUAGGGUUUUAUACAUUGCUUAAUAAGGUCUCUUCGUUGUGGAAACUAUAGAGUCGAUUUCAAUUGAUGGAUUUGGAAAAUGAUUUCUACCUCGUUCAUUUUAAAGAUAUGGAUGAUUUUGACAAAAUUCUAAUAGGUGGUCCAUGGGUAAUCUUUGGUCAUUAUCUAACGAUAAAACCUUGGUUAUUAGAUUUCUCAACUGCUAACACAAAAGUAGAUAAUCAAAUUGCCUGGAUAAAAUUGCCUGGUUUAUCGGAAGGAUACUACUCAAAAAUGUUACUUCGGGCUAUAGGGCAAACAAAUGGGCCGAUGAUUAGAAUUGAUGAACAUACGAAUAUAGCAAUAAGAGGAAGGCUCGCUCUGUUGGUAGUGUGUGCAGAUCUUAGGAAGUCUUUGAUUUUUAAGGUUCGAAUAAAUGGUAAAACGCAAAGGGUCGAAUACGAGUCUCUGCCAAAUAUCUAUUUUACUUGUACGUUGUAUGGGCAUACAACUGCACUUUGUUCAAGAGAAGAAACAGGCAUGAUGGAAAACUCGAUGGACACCACAGUACUAAUUACAAAGGAAUCAAAUCUGAUUAAUAGGGUUGAAAAGCAACCAUUUGGUCCUUGGAUGCUAGUGGAAUGAAAACAGAGAGGAAGGUUUAAAGAGUCUACAAUGGUGGCUAACAGUGGUCAAUACAACCGAUAUAGGGGAUCGCAUUUCUUUAUUCUGGAGGAUGGCAGAAUUAAUAGUGCAACAGUUAAUCAUGGAGUUAAUUUUGUUGCUAAAGAAGAAAACAACGAAGUUACUGUAGAUUUGUAGAGAUAUGGGGAAGGGAUGAGUUCGAAGGCAGCUGAUGAUGUCAGUGGGAAUAGGAAAAUUGUUUCUAGGGCAAAAGGGAAAGAAUUAGCUGUGGCUAAUGGGCAUAGGAAAAAUCUACAAAUAUUGAGACCUAAUAGUAAUGGUCCAGGGCUUCAUUUAAGUAAAGGUGUCAGUGGGUUUAACGAUGGAGCAAAUUUGGUAAAAUCAGGCUUUGAUGGGCCGUUUGGUAAUUUAAAGACCCAAGCUAUGAAUUUUAAAACAAACUUAAAUAGAAAUAAACACCAAGCCUAUCGUCACACGAAUCAGGUUUUAGAAAAGAAAAUAAAAUGUUUCAGUUUGGUGCUAUGAGAAAUGAGAGUAUGGGAAGAGAAGUGGAGGCCACUGUGGAGGAGGACAUGCACCGUAAGAAACCUCUUGAUAUCGGGUUGACAAAUCAUGAUCAACUUAUGAUGGGAAUUUCGGAGGCUAUGGAAGACAUCAUUCAAGCAAUUGAAACUUCCUGUCAACAAAAUAAAUUAGAGGAUCCAUCGAAUUCUUUGAUGGUUGGUAUGGAAGCGUAAAUGAAUCAGGAAAAUGAGGUAAGUCGUUCAUUCCUUAGCUAUUAGUUUGAUUGUCGGUUUUGACUAUCUACUGUUUAUGGUUAUAGAUUCUAAGCUGAUUCUUUAGAAUUGUCAAAGAACAGGGCAUCCCCGAUUCCAUAAAUUUAUUAGUGAAUAUAGAAAGGAGUUUGACCCUGAUGUUUUUUGUUUUUUUGAAACGCGAAUCAGUGGUGAGCGUGCUGAAGUUAUUAUAAGUAGAAUUGGUUUUCUGAACUUGUGUAGGGUUGAAGCGAAAGGCUUUGAAUGAUGAAUUUGGGUUUUUUAGAAAGAUACUGUACAUGUUGAAAUUCUUGAUUUACAACCUCAAACAAUUAAUAUGAGGAUCCGAUGUACUCAUUAUUCUUCUCAAUUUCUUUGUACAACUAUCUAUGGUAGUCUCCAACCAACAAAAAGAAAGAUAUUGUGGGAAUAUGUUGGUUCAGUCGCAGAACAGAUUAUUGAACCUUGGGUUAUUGCUGAAGAUUUCAAUGUUAUUUUAGAUUCUUCAGAACGGAUUGGUGGUGCAGAUUCGACAAGAAAUGGAUGUCUGUAGUUUUAGGAAUUUAUGUUUAAUUAUAGCAUCCGCGGUUUAAGCUUUUGUGGGUCACAAUUUUGUUGGAGUAGAAGAGGCCUGUCUCAGCGGUUAGACCAAGUAGUGGGUAAUGCAGCUUAGUUCUCCUUUAUGUCAAAUUGUUAUGUUCGAAACCUUUAUCUCUAAAAUCUGAUCAUCAUCUGGUUUUACUUUAUUUAAAGCUGAAGCAAAGAAGAGGAGUUAGACCCUUUCGUUGUUUGGAGAGUUAGAUGUUACAUGCAAAUUUUAAAGAGCUAUAUUUUUAGAAUUUGAGGAAUGAUAUUUUCGUGGUAGACAAUUUGAAUUAGUUUCAAGUAGAGGUUCAAGACUAGAAUAAGACAGUUUAUGAUAAUAUAUUUCAAAGAAAGCGCUAGUUAAUUUCAGAACUUAAACGGGUGCAGCAUAUUUUGGAAUUAAGAUACUCUUAGUGCCUUCGUAAUAGAGAGCUAGAACUGAGACUAGAAGUGGAGGAAAUUUUGUAUCAUGAGGAAUUAUUAUGGUUCCAAAAAUCAUGUUCUAAUUGGCUUGUGAAGGGAGACAGGAAUACCAAAUUUUUUCGUAGUCGUACAUUAGUUAGGCAAUAAGAUAAUAGAAUUGUGGGUUUCAAAAUUGAUGGUGAUGAGUGGUAUUUUCAGUCGACGGUGCUUAAGAAACAUGUUGUGAAGUUUUUCAAAAAAAUUUAUUUUAUGGAUUACAUUGUCUAUGGUGGUCUUACAUGUAGAGGGUAUUUCCCGACAUUAUCACAAAUAGAUAAAGAGAACCUUAGUAUGGUGGUCUUGAAUAUAGAGAUUCGUAAGACAGUGUUUGAUAUGGUGCCACUUAAAACAUCUAAAAUUGAUGGAUUUCAUACAAAAUUCUACCAAUCACAAUGGGAUGUUGUAAGGUUGAUGGUGUGUAGAUUGGUUCAGCGGGUUAUGGAGGGGUAUCUUUUAGAUCAAAGACUAAAUAAAACAUGACUUGUUCUUAUUUUGAAAGUUCAAGGAUCUGAGAAGGUUUCGCAGUUUAGACCUAUUAGUCUAUGUACGGUAGCUUACAAAAUUAUCACGAAAGCUAUUGUCAACAGAUUAAGAUCGUUAAUGAUGAAACUGGUUAGUCAAAAUCAAGCUAGCUUUGUGAUGGGAAGAAAUAUUUCGGACGAUAUUAUUGUCAUUCAGAAAGUUGUUCAUUCUAUGAAAAACUUUAAAGGAAUGAAGAUUGGGAUAAUCCUCAGAAUUGAUUUAGAAAAGGCGUAUGACGGAUUAAGAUGAAAUUUCCUAGAAGAAACGUUGUCUACUGUUGGUUUUUCGACUACUCUAAUUUUUGUUAUCCUUAACUGUGUAUCUUCAUCAUCUUUUCAAGUUCUUUGGAAUGAAAUGAUGACUGAGGCUUUCAAACCCUUCUCGUGGUAUCCGACAAGCGGAUCCCCUAUCGCCCUAUUUAUUUGUUCUGUGUAUGGAAUGGAUGGGGUAUCUAAUUAAUGAAGCGAUUAAUAAAAAAAGAUGGGUUCCGCUGCGAUUGUCUAGGAAGGGGCCGAAUCUUUCUCAUUUGUUUUUGCAGGUGACUUAUUGUUAUUCUGCAAGGUUAAUUUAGGGCAAUCUAAUAUUGUUAUUGAUAUUCUAAAUAAAUUUUUUCUACUACUUGGGACAGAAGGUGAACAAAGGUAAAUCCCAAAUCUUUUUUUCACCAAUGUUCUAGAUGAAUUAUCUUCGGCUAUUUGUAGGAAAAUAGAGUUUGCAUACAUUGAUGAUCUAGGAAGUAACUUGGCAUGCCGAUUUUACAUGGGAGAGUUGGUAUUCAUUCAUUUGAGUUUGUUGUGAAGAAGGUUCAUGACAAGUUAAAUGGUUGGGUUGCAAAGAAGCUCUCAUUAGCCGGUCAAGCUACGCUAGCAAAAACAGUACUCCUGUCUAUUCCGAACUAUUUCAUGGCAACGACUCAGUUGUCAAUUUUAGCCUGUAGGGAAAUUAAAAAGUUGGCUGGGAAUUUUAUCUAGGGAUCUACGGUUGAGAUGAGGAAGCCAACACUAAUUCGUUGGGAUGUUUGUUGUACUUCUAUGGUUGUGGGUGGGUUUCGUAUAUGUAGCUUAAUGGACCAAAAUAAAAUUUUCUUAUUGAAAUUAAGAUUCCAGUUACUUACAAAGACGGAAGCCUUAUGGGUACAAGUUGUGAGAAACAAGUAUAAUUUGUGUGGAGUUUUACCAACCGGUAUCUCAAGAUAUAAUUGUUCAUUCUUUUGGAGGUCACUCAUGAAAUUUUGGCCUGAGGUACUCAAAAAUAUUUAUUGGGUAAUAGAGGAUGGACGUCUGAUGAAUUUUUGGAAUGACCUUUGGGUCCCUCAGGUGGGAAUUUUGAAAACAUGGCAUACUGGAGGGUCAAGAUUGGAUGAUACUCUUCGAGUCAGUGAUUUGGUGGAUGAUAAUGGUAAUUGAGAUUGGGGCUAUCUAAGAAAUUUACUUCCUGACAGCAUUGUUUUGCAAAUAGGCGUAGUAGUCCCACAUUCGUUGGAUGCUGGGCCAAAUUGUCUUGCAUGGAAAUGGGCGACUAAGGAGAUGUUCUCUGUAUCUGAAACUUAUAAGAAACUCCAUCAGUUUGAUUUAGGUGUCAAUGCACAUAGUUGGAAAAUUAUCUGGGAAGUAAGAGUGCCUCAAAGAGUUAGAAUGUUCAUGUGGACUCUAUGGCAUGAGAGAAUUUUGACUAAUGAUGAAAGGGUAAGGAGACACAUGACAAAUUAUAGAAGUUGUGAGAGGUGUAGCCAUGUUGAUGAAUCAAGUAUCCAUGCUUUACGUGAUUGCAGUUUCGCUAAAGCGGUGUGGUUGUCGAUUGUGCCGAAACAUAAUCAGGUACAAUUUUUCUCUUUUUCGCUUCAAGACUAGUUGCUGUGGAAUUUGCAAAAUAUAGGUAAUUAUAAUUAUCAUGAUAUUGAAUGGCAAAUGUUCUUCUCAAUAAUUUGUUGGCUAUUAUGGAAAAAUAGAAACAUGUAUUUGUUUUCAAUAGGCCAUAGUUGUGGUCAGGAAAUUAUGGAUACAAGCAUAAGUUGGGCAAGAAGUUAUAAGUGGUUAAACAUGGCACGAUUGCAUGAUAGUUCGAGGGUGACAACCAAUCAGUGGGCAUGUCCAACUAAAGGAUGGGUUAAACUUAAUACGGAUGGAGCUGUAUCGAGAAAUAACUCAUUUGCUGGCAUUGGAGGAGUGUUUAGAAGUGCCGAUGACAAAUGGUUAGGUGGUUUUUCGAUGAAGUUAGGAAAUGAUUCAAUUUUCAAGAUUGAGGGGAUAGCCUUACUUGAAGGCUUACUUAUAUCAUGGAGGAAAAGUCAUCGACAGUUGGAAGUGGAAUGUGAUAAUGCUCUCUUAGUUGAAUUGAUUUUAGCUUGUGGAGUUACAGAUAGUCAUUUGACUGAAAUGUGUAUUAUCCAUCAUUUAUUGAGUCGAAAUUGGAAGGUCCUUGUUUGUCAUAUUUUGAGGUUGCAAAAUAUAGUAACUGAUCAUAUGGCUAAGUGUAUGGCGACUAAUUCAAUAGAAAUUCAUUAGUUUGAAAAACCCCCGGCAAUCAGCUAGAAAUUUAAUUAAGGCGGAUUAUGUUCUUGCUUUGAGUCACUAGUGUAAUUCUUAAAAUUUUUUACUUUAAGAUGUAUUUUUUUCUACUAAAAAAAUAAUCUUCAAAGAGGAUAUACUUUUUUAAUCAAAGGUAAAUUUGUAAAAGUGAAAGCUAAAAAAUUUAGCUUGAAUUAAAAAUGUCGGUUUAAAAAUAUGAUUAAUUUAAAAAAGUUACUUUUGAUUUGAAAUUAUGAUAUGAUGGAGCUUGAAUUAGAUUUCCGACGCUUGGUUAGGGGGAAAACUCUUUAUUUCCCACAUUUAAACUUUGACUCUUCGUUUCUAUCAAUUUUACAGCCCAUUUGAAAAGAAAACCUUCUGAAAUCAGUCCUUCAUCCCCCCUCUUUCCCUAUAAAACCAUCAAACAAACAAGAAGUAUCCACCCCACUCUCUCUCUCUUUCUUAAUGGCACCAAAGCGUGCAAACCCUGUUGAAGUCCCAGCACCCGCUUUUUCAUCUGAAGAAGAUGAAGAGGUAACUUCUUCUGAGGAAGAAGAAGAAGGGUCUUCAACUGAGGAAGAAGGUGAGGAAGACCCCAAAACCAAGUCUACUCCAUUGACCCACAAGAUCCCACCACACAGAAAGCUUGAAACCGCUAACGAUGAAUCUGAUGAAUCCGGUUCUGAUUCCGAAUCUGAAUCCGACACCGCUGCACCGGUUGCUAUUGCCACGAAACCCGGAUCGAAUAAGCCCUUGGCUUCUUCAUCUAAACGGCCUGGGGAGUCUGGGUUGGAUGCCAAAGAAGGGAAACGACCCAAGAAGAAGGUUGGGGGAGAAGGGAUGGCUACUGCACCUGUUGUGGAGGAGGUGAAAAGGACUGGUGAAGAUGCAAAGAAGCUGCUGUUCCAGCGGUUGUUCAGUGAAGAUGAUGAGAUUGCUUUGUUGAAAGGUAUGUUGGAUUAUUCUGCUAAGACAGGGGCUGACCCUCAUACUGAUAUGAAUGGAUUUUAUGACUUCGUUAAGAAAUCGAUUUCAUACUAAUGUUAGCAAAGUACAAUUGAUGGAUAAGGUUAGAAGACUAAAGAAAAAAUUCAAAAACAAUGUUGGUAAAAAUAAGAAGGGUGAGGAUCCAACUUUCUCUAAAGCCCAUGAACAAAAAGCUUUUGAGUUGUCGAAAAAGAUUUGGGGAGUUAGUGGAAAAGUUGAGUCUUCAACUGCCAAGUCGAAUGGGAAAGCCAAGGGGAAUAACAAGGUAGUGGCAGCAUUGAAAGCUGAGUUGCCUUCUUCAUCCGAUAAGAAAACAGACAAUGCGGUGCCAAUAGAGGUCGAUAUUGUGGUGUCUAAGAGUUACAGUAGUUUGCUUGAUAUGAAAUUUAGUGUCUCUGACACGGAAGUAGGUGUUGUAAAGGUCGGGUUGGAUAUGGUUGAUGGUGAGAAGAAGGCUGCUUUGGAGGCAAAAUGGAGGAAAUUGCAAAUGGCGCAGUUGGAGUUGUUUGUUGAGCGAGCUGAAUUUGUGACUGAGCAAGCUAAGUUGGCGCUGAAAUAUUACAAGUCCGAAGACGAAUAGAUUGGCAAGAAAUGAAAUUUUUUAACUUCUGUGAUUAUUAGGUAAGUAAGAUGCCUUUGGUAACUUUAGGAUGGUACUUAUGCUGUUAAGCAUAUUUGGAAGUCCUUAAUCCUUUUGUUUCAUGUUAUGGUAAUAUAUUUUGUUUGUUUGUUAGUCUGCUGCAACCCUCUAUUGGCCUUCGGUGCUUACUUUACUUUUUAAACUGCUGCUGCCAUCUCUCUUAAGCCUUGAAGGAAUUGCUGUUUUGCUGCCAUUUACCAAAAAUUCCUCUCUUGUAAAUCUAGCUUGUUUUGGUUCUAAAAUUGCUUCACUUUGUUGUACAAAUCAGGUACUGAACAUGUUCAAAAAUCUGCUGCUAUUUGGCUUAAUGUAAUGCCGCUUUACCAUCUCAUUGUUCACCCAUUGUUUCCAUUCAUAUUGUUUUGAAUUGUCAUUGCACAUGCUGCUAAUUGCUUCAUCGUUUGCCUCAAAAAUCCGAAAAUAAUGGGUGAUUGUUCCUUCAAGGCUUGCUGCGAUAGCUGGAUUGAACCGAUUGAGGCCAUUGUUGCACCAACCAAAAUUCUUGGCACAAUGUACUGCGUUUUUGCUUUUCGAUUGGUUACUGUGUGCUUUCAAACCAGCAGUUACUUGCUUUCAUCAUUAACCUUCAGUUGGCUCUCCAAAUCACUACUGCCCCAAAAUGAGCCAGUACAACCACCUUAGCAGAAACACCAAUGGCUACGAGGAGUACCAAUUAAUUGUUCUAAUAGUGGGAUCAUGACCAUGCAAACGUAAUUAAAGUGAAGAUUUAGAUUUAGGCUUAGGUUGGUACUUAAAGCCCCUGCAUCGCCGCCAUGGAAACUACAACACCCUCACCUCAUUUAUGACAAAACCAGCUCUCCUCUUUCUAAAUUCCAACAAAACAAGAAACAAAUAAAUAAGUGUAUCUGUAUCCACUCAAAGGUUUCUCUUACACUUCCAAUCAAUCUAAUCCAACUAUGACGUUUUCUUUUUUUAAUCAAAAAUGUCCAACCUACUUUCCCUAUUAUUCCAUGUCCCAUUUCCUUAUUCCUCAUUGCACCCUAAAUCCCGUUCCUACUUUUUCUGACUGCAUGUAUCUAGGAAUCUGAAUUUUUUUUAAAACUUUCUUUUUUCUUUUUUAAAUUUUAUAUCACUCGACUUAAUUUUAAAAAAUUUUAAAUUGAAUUAAGAUGAUAAAAUAAUAUUUGUUUACUCGAAAUAUUAUCAUUCGAUUCGAUUCAAUCAAUUGCUCACGCUCAUUGAUAUGUCAAGUUACUAUUUCGAUAUAUGACUCAUAAAAUAAUGAAUGUUGUUUAAAUUAUUAUUGAAAUUUCAAAAUUAAAAAAAAUAUAAAAAUUAAAAUUGAUUAAAUUAAACAAUGACUAAACCAAAAAAAAAAUUAUCUCAAAAUUCUCUAAAAGUCAUUAUUCUCCCUCAUUCUACAAACCCUAAUCCCAUUCCAACUACUCUCAAAUUUUACUACAGUUCGAGUGUUUAUUUUGGCAAAUAUAAGUUGUGGUGCAUGUAGUUACACUAUGGCUUAGAUUUGGCGGUGUUAAAAAAUAACUAUUUAUGCAAUAAGUACAUAUAUAUUUAUAAUUUAAUCUAUAUAUUUUAAAUAUGUUUUACAUCAAAUUUGAAUCAAUAUUUAAUGCUUGAAUUGAUAUCUAAACUAAAGGACUUGAUUGAUACAUAUGAAUAUUUUGAAGAUUCAAUUAAAAUAUUUUAAAGUUAGGGGCCAAUUUAAAAUUUAAACGAUAAAUUAGGGACAUUUGGUGCAAUUGACCCUAGUAUAAACAUUAAAUUAUGCAUACAUUACUAUAAUAAAUAGUGAAUUGUGGCUGAUAUAAUUUUAACUUGAUUAGUAUUGACAUUCUUACUAGUGCAGGAGAAUGUGGAUUUAAAUGCGCUGAAAUACAUUUUCAUCCUAUUUAAAGUUUGAGAUAAGCUAUAGAUAAUUCCAUAUAUUAUAUAUAUAAAAAACUUAUAUCAUAAAAACCUAUAAUAAGAUUAAUGUUCCAAAAAAAACCCUAAUAAAUAAUUUAAGCAUGACAAUAAGAAGAAUACCAUAUUCCAUAUAUACCUCCUACAUAUCAUUUAUAUAAAAUUUAUAUAUUAUAAAGUCUUGUUCAAAACACCAAUACUUAAAUCUUAGCUUCAAUGGAAGAGAUGAAAUCUUUGAUUCUUCCCCAUUCAGCCUCAACACUCUUCUCUUCUUCCUCACCAACCUUGGCAGUGGCCUCACACUCUGCCAAUUCCUUUCCCAAUGCAUCCAACUCCAAUUUCAUUUCCUUGCAACUUCUGUAUAUUCCCUUUCGCUCAGCCAACAUCUUCUCCUUUCUCUUUUGUGCUUCUUCAACUUCCUCACGGAGGGCAGCAAGUAUUUGAUCCACCUGUUUCACCUCUGUUUCGACCUCCUUAUAUCUGAUUAGGCUACUCUCCAAAUUACAAGUCAUCGUCCGCUUGAUAGAUUCCUUGGCGGUAAGUUGAUCCUUGUCCUGCACUGCUUUCGCUGCUCGGUUAGCUAGUUCUUUCAAUCUUUCGUCCAAGCCCAACAACUCAUUCUUUUGAUCAAUUGUAAGGGUGGUGGAGGACCCAUCAAAACUAGCUAGGAUCAUGAAUGCCUGCUUAAGUGGAGAAAACUUCCCUGAAUCGUUAAGAUUAACGGGGGUUGUAUUCAAGGCUUCGUUUAUUUUAGCCAGUGCUUCCUUUGCUUCUUCUUUAGAAUAAACAAUUCUAGAGCUUGAAAGCUCGGACUCUAAGCUAGUGAAGAAUGUGUUCAUGUCUUCCUCAGCAGACUCUUCAGGUUCAAUGGCCUGAAAUGGUGGAAAAGAAAAGCAAUAAUAAGAUAUAUAUAUAUACGCAUUAAUAUUAACUGAUUUAGGUAACGUACCACAGUCUGGCUAGAAGACUGAGUUGGUGAAGGAGGUGUGAUUUCUACUGGUUUGGUUGUAGGAGUUUUCUGGUUGUCUAUGACUGCCUUAACACAAUCAGCUUCCUUGGCCUUAAGUUCAUCCCAAUCAGUUUUGACUAUAAAUUCAUGGGAAAUAAAAUCUAGAGUCUUAUCAGUGCAAACGUAUACUUCAACCAAGCAUGCAUCAUUAAGGAGAUAGCCUCUUUUAGGGUCGUGUAAUUCAGUAAGACGUAAGAAUGAAGUGAAGCCCCAAUCAGCCUGCCUCGCGUUGAAACAAUGGUGAGUGACUGCCAAAAACAACAGUGCCUUAUCAUCAACAACCAGUUCAGUACAGAAGCUGACAGACUCUACGAAGAAAGGAUGGCAUAGAUAAAAUAUUUGGCAUCUGGACUUCAACAGUUUUGACCAUACCAACGCCUCAAACAAGCUGAGCUUUAGGUAAUAUGAAUUCAAAGCUUCCUUUAUAAACCCCGAAACUUCUUCGUAGUGGCUCUUCCAUGCUUCAUUACAUUAUAUAUUGUCAUUUGGUUCUAGUCUAUCAUUUCUAUUUCUAUGUAUGCUUGUACGUGGAAAGCUCAAGCAUUCCCCAAUGAGACAGAGCCCCAGUUGAACAUACAAAAUAAAUGCAAAACAGAACAAGAGGAAGCAAUAGCCAUUGUUUUCCUAAAGCUUUGACAAAUGACAAGUAACCGAGUAAUAACAAAAAGAGUCGAAUUACACAACUGGUUCACGCAGUCACUCUUAAGAGCUAGCAUUCAGCAUAUCAGUGACCCUUCCCUUAUUCCUAUAUUAUGGCUAUCUUAUAUAGCCUCUUUAAACCCAUUAAAUAAGAACAAGAAUAAAAUGCUGAUCCCUUGUUUGUACUACGAAAUUGUGAUUGCUACAACAAAUAACAAUAUACCUUUUGUACUAGAAGUUUCACGAUCCAAUUGAUCGAUGACUCCGAAUCCGACUUGGGCAUAUUUACUCCAUCCGUAAGGCAGAGUAGCUGAAUCUGCUACAUCUAAAUAAAUUGACAAAUGAUCCACAUUGUUCCCCUUGGGGAAGAUAAGAACUCGCCUGCCAAAUAAGUUUGUAAAUCUGAGUCAUAGGGAGAUGAAAACUGGAAAUAAAAACAUAAAGCAACAACAAGAAGAAAAAGAUCAAAGUUACCAUUUGUAGCUAUCAAAUGUAAAAACUUCAGAGUAGAGCUUUUUGUCUACAAGACUGGAGAAAUUCUGAAUCCUCCAUGUGAACUUCUUUAUUUUUACAUCAAUAUCCAUAUAUUGAAACUUACUAUCCACUGCACUCAAAAUCUUAAACAUUACAAAACAUACAUAAUAAUAGAAGAAAGGAUUAUAAGUAGAAGCUAUACCUGCCAUUACGAGAGAAUGUGGUGCUACCUGCAGUGCAGAAAAGUGGAGGGGAUGAAGAUUCAAGGUUCCUUAGAGUUCCAAGUUUGUUUAAAUAUUGACAAGUCCUCUUCUUUUGUCAAAAGUUAGUUGACUUAAACUACUUAGGCUUUAAGCUAUCCUUUAUUAUUUUCUUUCACUGUUUAUAAAAAUUAAUAGAAAGUUAUGUAAAUAAUUUUUAUAUUUAUUUAAAAAAUAAAAAAUGAUGGCAAUUCUAUUAGUUGGGUCACUCAAGUAUUAAUGUAUUUCUAUUUUGGUCAUCUAAUUUCAAACAUUUUCAAUUCUAUCACCAAAAUUAUCAAUGUUGAUUUUUUUUUUUGCUUAUAUGUCAAAAAAGCCCUUAAGAAAAUGCAAACAAACAAAAUCAAUUAAGCCCCUAUAUUAAAUUCACACUCAACUAACCUCCUAUCGUUAACUAAAAUAAUCAAUUAAGCCCUUCCAGUAACAAUUUCCGUCAUUGACUACGUUGACUAUUAAAAUAAAUUGAUGGACCAAUUAAAUAGUGACAUGUGGCAACUUUUGGUUUAAUAUAAUAUUUUCCCUUAAAAAUCAUAAAAAAUAAAAAAUUAUAAAAAGAUAUUAAAAUUUAUAUAAACUUAUAAAUAUUAUAAAAAUAUAAAAAAUUAAUGAAACCUAUUUAAAAUAAAAUAUAUAUUAGAAUUCUUUAAAAAAAUAUUAAAAUUAUUAAAAUUGUAUAGACUUAUAAAAAUUAUAAAACAAUCAUAGAAACUUGAAUUGUACCAAUUAGCCCAAAGUCUCAAGUUUACCAAUUCGAAAAAAGUCAUUAGAUUGGUUGACUUGGGAACUGGACGAUUGAAUCGAUUUUUUUUUAUUUUUUAAUAAUUUUUAUCAAAAAAAAAUUUAUUAUCCAACUAUUAGCAUAUACCAUAAUGAAAUAUCCUGACCAAGGUUUCCAUAAUUGAACAGCUGGUCGAGUCGUUCAAGCCAUUGAUUUUACAGUUAGACUAAUUCAUCCAAUUCAAUUAAAUAAAACAUUAAAAAUAAAAAAAUAUAUUAAAAAUUUGAUUCAACCAUCCGGUUUCCAGGUCAACCGAUCUAAUGACUUUCUCCAAAUUGAUACCCUUAUCGAUUUCGGUCUAAUCGGUCAAACAAAUUGAUCCAAUCCAAUUUAAGUUUUUAUGAUUUUUUUUAUAAUUUUUAUAAGUUUAAAAUCGGACCUUGUUAAAUUAAAAAUAGAUAGGGCAUUUUUAAAAGACCUUGGAAAAUUAAAAACAAUUCGAAUUGACUCAAAACCUAUUAGGCUUAAAACAAAUUUAGACUCUUAAUUUGGGCUAAUUUUAAAUUUUAUUUAGAUUUUUUAAAAAUUAAUUUGGCUCUAAAAAAUCAAUUUGAGUUUCUAAAACAAAUCAAAUUGGACUUCUUUAAAAACAGAUUUGACAACAAAAUUUUCAAAACAAAAUCCAAAUAAAUUUAGGUUUUGAGUAGCAAAUUUAAAGAACAUCAGAUUGGGUUUUGAAAAACAAUAAAAUUGGGCCUUAGCCUUAAUAUCAAACCCAAAAGGAUCUGAAAACCCAAAAGAUUUUUACUUAAAAUUCAUUUGAUUUUUGGGUAAACCACACAAAUGGUCACCCAACUAUGCACGUGUUCUUGUUCUGGUCACUGAACUUUAAAAAAUUUUAAUUUAAACACUGAUAUUUGAAUUCGUUCCUGUUUUGAUCAGCCACCAUUAAAUUGGUAACGGUAUAAUAACACAUUUAGUCCUCAAUACUUACAUAUUCUAGCAUUUUGAUCUUAAUUAUAAAUAAUUCAAUAAAUUUAACCCUUCACGUUUACAAAUUGUAUCAAUUUGAUUAUCAAACUUACUAAUCAAAGUUUUCAACUUUUAUAAAUGUGAACCCUAAAAAAGAAAAAAAACUUCUCUCAACUAAUGAGUCGUUUUCCGAGCUAAUUCUUGAUACCAAUAAGUUUCUCUUGAAAAAAAUUUAUAGUGUUAGUAUUUUAUAGUGUUGGUGCCGGAAUAAUUUUUGUUAUUGUUUGCGAUAAUAUAAAUUUUUUUGGCCCUUAAACUCGGCUAUUAGGUUCAAUUUUGAGAUUAUAUCACAUUAUUGCUUGAAAAUUAAUACAUAUAAUUCUAGGUGAUAAUAUGGUAUAACCUUAGAGAGUCGCACAUAGAUUUUAAUAAUCGAGCCAAUAAUUCAAUUAGUCAAACUUUUGGUUCUUGAUUCAAUUGGUUUGUUCAGUUUAGUUGCUAGACCAAUAAUUACUAAUGCGACAUUAAACUAUCGGAAAUGGAUAAUAUCCCUGUUUUAUAAAAUCCUUUCUCUAUUGUGGAAUUCAAAUUUUAGUUUUUAAACAAAUCCCAACAUUAAUGUUAUAAAAUAAAAGAAAUUUAGCUAGAAAUAUAAAGAAAUAAAAGAAUGCUAUAAAAGACCAUAAUUGAGAAUGUUGACCUUAUUUUUUUAUUAAAAACGGGGUCGACUUGGGUUUUGAAAAAAAGAAACAGGAGUCGCCACCAAUCCUUUUUUUUUAUAAGGUGUGAUUGGAUCACCUCGAAAAUGAGUUGUUUUUAAUAAACGGUUUGAUUUUAUUAAAACAACAAGUUUGGUCCACGAAAUUCAGAAAAACGGGUUCGGGAGUCAGUUACGCACGAGGAAGGAUUAGCACCCUCGAUACGCCCAAAAUUGGUACCUAGUUGAUUACUUAAUGUCUUAAUGUCGAAAAUUGAAAACCUUGAAGAAUUUUAAAAAUACGAUCCUUGUAUUAAAAUGUUAAAAAUUUUCAGGAAAAGGGCAUGUUUCACGUUAUUCGAGAAAGAGAAUUAUAUCCAGUAAGUUAUGACACAAUAUCUCGAAUUCCCGAUACGUGAAUGAAAAUGCUUGUUCAAAAGAUAUUUAACUAUCUUGGAUUAAAAAAGAGAUCGCGGCCAGUAAGUUAGGACACGAUCCUUUUUUAAUUCCCGAUAUCGUUUAAAACUUGAGUUUGAAAAUAUUCACGUAAUAAAAUUUAAAAGAAUAUUCAGUUGUUUAAAUCAAAUGAAGAAAUCUCAACCCAAUUCGUUAGGACACAAUUUCUCAAAAUAUCAAACAUUGAAUAUUGCAUUUAUUUUUUAAAAAAAAUCUUCAUCUUAAGAAAUCAACGUGUCACAUCCAAUGCAUUAGGACACGACGUAUUGAAUUCUCGAUGAUGAGCUUUUUAUUUAUGUUUUUUAUAAAAGAGUAAUUUCGAUUAUUUUGAUUCAACAAAGAAAAUCGGAACCCAAUACGUUAGGGCUCAAUUCUCUCGAAGAUCUCAAAUAUCGAGUGUUAUUUUUAUUUUGAAAUUUUCCGUUUUUGGAUAAAUCUGAGUAAAGAAAAAUGAAUGUAAAAUAAUAAUAAUGAUGAUAAUGCAAAUAAAAUAAUACAAGCAAAAUAAGAAAAGAUAAAUAAAUAAGAUGACAAAUAUAAUAAAAAGAAAUCAACAAAUAAAAGUAAAUAAACAAAUAAAAUUAAAGCACUUUAAGUAAAUAAUAAUAAUGAGCAUGUAAAUAAAUAAAUAAAUUAACACCAAAUGAAACAAUAGUAAUGAAUAAAAUUAUGAUAUAUAUAUGCAUGUAUGUAUGUUAGAAUUAUAAAGUAUAUAUAAUAUAUAUAAUAUAUUUUAAAAUAUAAAGAAUAUAUAAAUAUAUAUAUAAAAUAUGUACAUAUGCGUAGGUAUAUAGAAAUUAUAGAAUAUGAAAAUAAUGAAAUACAUGUAAAAAAGGGUAGGUAUAUAUGUACAAAAAUGUAUGUAAGUAUACUUAUUUUUUUUAAGAUUAUAAAGUAAAUGCAAAAAAGAAUAUAUGUAUGUAUAUCUAAACUAUCAUAUAAUAAUAAUAUGAUGAAUAAAAAUGAUAUAAAUAAUAAUAGAAAUAAUAAUCAUAAUAAUAAAAGAUAAUAACAUUAAAAUAAUGAAGAAAAAAUAAUAAUAAUAAUAAAAGUGUUAAAAAAGGACUAAAUCGAAGUAAAAACAAAGAUACUGGGCGAAUUUAAACAUGGAAAAUACAAAGGGGACUCAUUUAUAAUGCGCGCGAAGCCCAGGGGAUCGAUUUGGAAAAUAUCCCGAGCCCUACACGCAGCGUUUUGACACGGGCUGAAAUGAAACACAUGAGAAAUUAUGCGACCGAAUUUACAAAACAAAACAGGACUAAAUUGCACCAGAGCGCUAAGGAGGAGGGGCCUCGCGCGCAAAUAUCCUCUCCAGCGAAAACACGCGGACCCUCCGGGUCGGAUCGAGUCGACGGGCGGAUCUGGGGGCAAAACGGCGUCGUUUUAACGCCUGGGGCUAUGGCGCAAAACGGCGCCGUUUUGAGUGCUUAUAAAAUCAAAAAAAAAAAUUAACUUCAUUUUCUGCUCUUUCAAAGAAAAAAACAAAUUCUCUUAAAAAAUCCUCUCUCCUUCCAGUCCAUAGCCCAGAAUCCGGCGAGAAGAACCGCCGUCGACGCCGUCGUGCCGGCCACCGUGUAAAUUCAAAGGUAAUUUUUUUUUCUUUUUUUUAUAUGUUAUAUAUAUAUACAGUUUUUAAAAAAUAAAAGAAACAAAAUCAAACACAAAUAGUUCGAAAGAAAAAAAAAUAAAGAGAAAAAAAUAAAAAUAGAAAAGGAAAAUAGAUAUAUUGAAAAAUGGGUUAUUGAAUCUGUUUUUUUUUUGCUUUUUUAUUUCUUUAAAUCGUGAAAAAGGGGGCAGCCCCAUUACAGAUCUUUGAAUGACUUUAUAGCCAUUUUUACAAUAUUUUUUAUUUAUUACUUGUGAUUUCUUUCUCUAGUUUUGCAGGCAAGUGGCGAUGGGACGUGCGGCGGCAGAAGCUGCGGUGGCAGGGCAAGUGGGCGACAUGACCGUGGCGGCUGGUCAGCAGAUGCGGCGCUAGGGUUUCUUUUCUGAAACCCUAGUUUGACUUUGGGGGAUUGGGCCGGUUGUGUAGUUGGGCUAGGUUAUUGGGCUAAAUUAGGCUACUGUUUUGUUUGGGUUAUGUUGUGUAGGUUUUGGGUAUUGGGUUUGUAAUUGGUUUUUGGGCUGGGAAAAUAUUGGGCUGUACAGAGAACAUAAUUCUACUUUAUGUGUUCUCAUUCACUUGAAUCAACUAUGUGUUGGGGUAAAAAAACAAUGAUAAACUUUACAAAAUUAAAGAUAAAUAAAGAGAUAAAUUAAUACAUAAAGAUAAAUAAAUGAUUUAUCUUAGAUAAAUAGAAGUAAUUUAUCUCCUAUUAUAUGUAUAUCCACAAUAAUUUAUUAUUUAUAAAUAUUAAAUAUUAAAUUAAAAAUAAUGUAAAUAUAUAUUUUUAUCUUGAUAGAAAGAAAUAAUUUAUCUCCAUGGAUAAUUACAAUAAUUUAUUAUUUAUAACAAUUAAAUGUUAAAUUAAAAAUAAUAAUAUGACGGACUUCAAAUAAAUAAAUUUGGGUUAAUUGUUUAUCAUAUUUUAGUCAAAUUGACCCCAGUAUAAACAUUAAAUUAUGCAUACAUUACUAUAAUAAAUAGUGAAUUGUGGCCCAUAUAAUUUUAACUUGAUUAGUAUUGACAUUCUUACUAGUGCAGGAGAAUGUCGAUUUAAAUGCGCUGAAAUAUAUUUUCGUCCUAUUUAAAGUUUGAGAUAAGCUAUAGAUAGUUCCAUAUAUUAUAUAUAUAUAUAUAUAUAUAAAAACUUAUAUCAUAAAAAAUUAUAAUAAGAUUAAUGUUCCCAAAAAAAAACCAAAUAAAUAAUUUAAGCAUGCCAAUAAGAAGAAUACCAUAUUCCAUAUAUACCUCCUACAUAUCAUUUAUAUAAAAUUUAUAUAAUAUAAAGUCUUGUUCAAAACACCAAUACUUAAAUCUUAGCUUCAAUGGAAGAGAUGAAAUCUUUGAUUCUUCCCCAUUCAGCCUCAACACUCUUCUCUUCUUCCUCACCAACCUUGGCAGUGGCCUCACACUCUGCCAAUUCCUUUCCCAAUGCAUCCAACUCCAUUUUCAUUUCCUUGCAACUUCUGUAUAUCCCCUUUCGUUCAGCCAACAUCUUCUCCUUUCUCUUUUGUGCUUCUUCAACUUCCUCACGGAGGGCAGCAAGUGUUUGAUCCACCUGUUUCACCUCUGUUUCGACCUCCUUAUAUCUGAUUAGGCUACUCUCCAAAUUACAAGUCAUCGUCCGCUUGAUAGAUUCCUUGGCGGUAAGUUGAUCCUUGUCCUGCACUGCUUUCGCUGCUCGGUUAGCUAGUUCUUUCAAUCUUUCGUCCAAGCCCAACAACUCAUUCUUUUGAUCAAUUGUAAGGGUGGUGGAGGAACCAUCAAAACUAGCUAGGAUCAUGAAUGCCUGCUUAAGUGGAGAAAACUUCCCUGAAUCGUUAAGAUUAACGGGGGUUGUAUUCAAGGCUUCGUUUAUUUUAGCCAGUGCUUCCUUUGCUUCUUCUUUAGAAUAAACAAUUCUAGAGCUUGAAAGCUCGGACUCUAAGCUAGUGAAGAAUGUGUUCAUGUCUUCCUCAGCAGACUCUUCAGGUUCAAUGGCCUGAAAUGGUGGAAAAGAAAAGCAAUAAUAAGAUAUAUAUAUAUAUACGCAUUAAUAUUAACUGAUUUAGGUAACGUACCACAGUCUGGCUAGAAGACUGAGUUGGUGAAGGAGGUGUGAUUUCUACUGGUUUGGUUGUAGGAGUUUUCUGGUUGUCUAUGACUGCCUUAACACAAUCAGCUUCCUUGGCCUUAAGUUCAUCCCAAUCAGUUUUGACUAUAAAUUCAUGGGAAAUAAAAUCUAGAGUCUUAUCAGUGCAAACGUAUACUUCAACCAAGCAUGCAUCAUUAAGGAGAUAGCCUCUUUUAGGGUCGUGUAAUUCAGUAAGACGUAAGAAUGAAGUGAAGCCCCAAUCAGCCUGCCUCGCGUUGAAACAAUGGUGAGUGACUGCCAAAAACAACAGUGCCUUAUCAUCAACAACCAGUUCAGUACAGAAGCUGACAGACUAUACGAAGAAAGGAUGGCAUAGAUAAAAUAUUUGGCAUCUGGACUUCAACAGUUUUGACCAUACCAACUCCUCAAACAAGCUGAGCUUUAGGUAAUAUGAAUUCGAAGCUUCCUUUAUAAACCCCGAAACUUCUUCGUAAUGGCUCUUCCAUGCUUCAUUACAUUUUAUAUUGUCAUUUGGUUCUAGUCUAUCAUUUCUAUUUCUAUGUAUGCUUGUACGUGGAAAGCUCAAGCAUUCCCCAAUGAGACAGAGCCCCAGUUGAACAUACAAAAUAAAUGCAAAACAGAACAAGAGGAAGCAAUAUCCAUUGUUUUCCUAAAGCUUUGACAAAUGACAAGUAACCGAGUAAAUAAGAAAAAGAGUCGAAUUACACAAUUGGUUGACGCAGUCACUCUUAAGACCUAGCAUUCAGCAUAUCAGUGACCCUUCCCUUAUUCCUAUAUUAUGGCUAUCUUAUAUAGGUUCUUUAAACCCAUUAAAUAAGAACAAGAAUAAAAUGCUGAUCCCUUGUUUGUACUGCGAAAUUGUGAUUGCUGCAACAAAUUGUUGAUAAGUUAAAUUAAAAAUGGGUUGAAAAGUCAAAAAUGGUGGGAGGUGCAAUUGGCACCGAAAGAAAAAAAAUAGUUGGCAAGUUGUUUAAAGUUGAAAGGGAUAAUUGCAAUUUUGGUCCCUAAUUUUUUAGGCCAUUUGCAAGUUAGUCCCUGAACUUCAACUAUAAAUAGGCCUAACCAUUUCUCAUUUCAACCAUCCCAACCAAUCUUUCUCUCUUAGUUUUCUCUCUUCUCCCAUUUGAGAAUUAUUAAGGAAUUCUAUUUGUUUGUAAUAUUUUGGAGAUAGUAAAGUUAUCAUCUGGUGUUAGUGCCCGAGGACGUAGGUAUAAUUUACCGAACCUCGUUAAAUCUCUUGUGUUCUUUCUUGUCCUAUUUUUCUUUCAAUAUUUGAGGGUAUAAUAGUAGUAUUUAAUUGUGCUAUUAAAUUACUAUAGAAGGGAUAUUCUGUCUAAGGAAAGACUUGGUAUUUAAGAGAUCCAUGUGAUCCACCUCUCUUCCCUGGGAAUUGAACUUUGUGUGAUUUUUUAGUACAAUAAUUUACACGCUUCCGACCCUAUUGGAACAACAAGUGGUAUCAAGAGCCGAAGGUUAAUCGUAGUAUGCUCUGUGGUUGCAGUUUAAACUGAUCUUCCACAUCAGAAAAGAUUUCCUUAGGUAUAUUGAAAGAUUAUGGAGAAAACGGUCGGUGUAGGAGCUUCAACAUCGUCCAUGUGGACAUGACCGACAAUUGCAAAUGCAAGAUUGGCCGUGGAGAUCUUUGAUGGCACGGGCCAUUUUGGUAUGUGGCAAAGUGAGGUUCUAGAUGCCCUUUUUCAGCAGGGUCUAGACAUUGCCAUUGAUGAAGAGAAACCAGAUGAUGUACAGGAGAAAGAUUGGAAGGCGAUCAAUCGGUUGGCAUGUGGCACAAUUCGGUCAUGCCUCUCUCGAGAGCAGAGGUAUGCUUUUUCAAAGGAGACUUCUGCAAAUAAGUUGUCGGUGGCACUUGAAGAAAAUUUUUUGAAGAAAAACAGUCAAAAUAAGCUCCACUUGAAGAAAAGACUGUUUCGCUUCACAUACGUCCCAAGUACCACAAUGAAUGAUCACAUCACCAAAUUUAAUCAGUUAGUCACUGAUUUGCUGAAUAUGGAUGAGACAUUCAAAGAUGAAGAUUUGGCUUUGAUGUUGUUGGGGUCACUUCCUGAGGAGUUUGAGUUCCUAGAAACUACUCUACUUCAUGGCAGGAGUGAUAUAUCUCUGAGCGAAGUCUGUGCGGCCUUAUACAGUUAUGAACAGAGAAAGAAGGACAAACAGAAAAACUCAAUCAGAGAUACAGAAGAUUUAGUAGUCCGAGGUCGUUCAUACACUCGGAAGAAAACUCAAAAGGGGAGAUCAAAGUCAAAGUCCAGACUCGGGAAAGAUGAAUGUGCUUUUUGUCAUGAGAAAGGCCACUGGAAGAAAAAUUGUCUAAAGCUGAAGAAUAAGGGAAAAGCUGCUGUAGAUGCUUGUGUUGCUAAGCAUGAUACUAGUGACUCUGAACUAUCACUGGUUGCAUCAUCAUCGUCGUUCCAUUCAGAUGAGUGGAUAUUGGAUUCGGGUUGUACCUAUCAUAUGUCCCCUAACCGGGAGUGGUUCUCUGAUUUAGUAGAACUAAAUGGAGGAGUUGUUUAUAUGGGCAAUGACAAUGCCUGUAAAACUGUUGGGAUAGGUUCAAUCCAAUUAAAGAAUCAAGAUGGAUCAACCAGAGUUCUGACUGAUGUUCGGUACGUGCCCAGUUUGAAGAAAAAUCUCAUCUCAUUGGGAGCCUUGGAAUCCAAUGGUUCAGUUGUUACUAUGAGAGAUGGGAUUUUGAAAGUGACAUCUGGCGCACUUGUGAUAUUGAAGGGCAUCAGGAAAAAUAACUUGUAUUACUACCAAGGUAGUACAGUUAUUGGAGCAGUCGCUGCAGCUUCCGGUAACAAAGACUUGGACUCAAUGCAGUUGUGGCAUAUGAAGUUGGGACAUGCUAGCGAAAAAUCCUUGCAAAUUCUGGCAAAGCAAGGAUUGUUGAAAGGUGCAAAGGCUUGCAAAUUAAAAUUUUGUGAGCACUGUGUUCUGGGAAAGCAAAAGAGAGUGAAAUUCGGCACUGCUAUCCAUAAUACAAAAGGUAUUUUGGAAUAUAUUCACUCAGAUGUGUGGGGGCCUUCCAAAACACCUUCGUUGGGAGGAAAACACUACUUUGUUACUUUUGUUGAUGACUUUUCCAGAAGAGUUUGGGUGUAUACCAUGAAAACUAAAGAUGAAGUGCUUGGAGUUUUUCUUAAAUGGAAAACUAUGAUCAAAAACCAGACUGGCAAGAAAAUCAAGCGGCUUAGGACGGACAAUGGAGGGGAAUAUAAAAGUGAUCCGUUCUUCGAUGUGUGCCAAGAGUAUUGUAUUGUUCAACACUUCACAGUUAGGGAUACACCACAACAGAAUGGAGUGGCAGAGCGUAUGAAUCGAACAUUGCUGGAGAAAGUUCGAUGUAUGUUGUCCAAUGCUGGGUUGGGCAAGCAAUUUUGGGCUAAGGCUGUGACAUACGCUGGCCAUCUUGUUAAUCGUUUGCCAUCAUCUGCAUUAGAAAGAAAAACUCCUAUAGAGGUAUGGUCUGGAAAACCGGCUACAGAUUAUGAUUCCUUACAUGUGUUUGGAUCCACUGCAUAUUACCAUGUGAAGGAGUCAAAGUUAGAUCCGAGGGCAAAGAAAGCUCUCUUUAUGGGAAUCACUUUUGGAGUGAAGGGAUUUCGUCUUUGGUGCUUAAGCACAAAGAAAAUGAUCUGUAGCAGAGAUGUUACCUUUGAUGAAUCUGCCACAUUGAAAAAGGUAGCAGAUAAAGAUAUUCAGAUGAGCAAUACUCCACAGCAGGUGGAGUGUACUCCAAAACAGGUGGAGUUUGAGCAGAUGGGGAUUUGCCCAGUUAAUAAGUCUAAUUCUCCAGCCACAAUGGAGGAAUUAGAGGUUGAAGAGGUUCUGACCCAAGAACCACUAAGUACACCAGAACCAGUUGCAGUUGCAAGGCCACGGAGAGAAAUUCGUAAACCUACUCGAUUUACUGAUAUGGUGGCCUACGCCCUUCCCGUUGUUGAUGAUAUUCCUAUCACUUAUCAAGAAGCAAUGCAAAGCUUAGAAAGUGAUAAAUGGAAAAGCGCCAUGGAUGAAGAAAUACAGUCUCUCCGGAAGAACAAUACUUGGGAGUUGGCGCAAUUACCGAAAGGUAAAAGGGCAAUCGGAUGCAAGUGGGUAUUCGCAAAGAAAGAUGGAUCUCCUAGCAAGAAGGAUAUUCGCUACAAGGCAAGAUUGGUAGCUAAAGGCUACGCUCAGAAGGAGGGAAUUGACUACAAUGAUGUAUUUUCCCCUGUUGUGAAGCAUUCCUCCAUUAGAAUUUUGUUGGCCAUGGUAGCACAGUUGAAUUUGGAGCUAGCUCAACUUGAUGUUAAGACGGCUUUCUUGCAUGGUGAGUUAGAAGAGGAGAUCUAUAUGACUCAGCCCGAAGGAUACACAGAUGCUGGUGGUAGAAAUUGGGUUUGUAAGCUGAACAAAUUGCUAUAUGGAUUGAAGCAAUCCCCGAGGCAGUGGUACAAGCGAUUUGAUAGCUUUAUGAGAAGGCAGAAGUACACAAGAAGCAAAUAUGACAAUUGUGUAUAUUUGCAGAAGCUGCAUGACGGAUCUUUCAUUUAUCUACUCUUGUAUGUUGAUGAUAUGUUAAUCGCUUCAAAGAGCCAAAAUGAGAUAGAUAAGCUGAAGGCUCAGUUGAAUCAAGAGUUCGAGAUGAAAGAUCUAGGUGAGGCCAAGAAGAUUCUCGGCAUGGAGAUAAGUAGAGAUAGACAGAGAGGCAAGCUUUGUUUGAAUCAGAAGCAAUAUCUGAAAAAUGUAUUACAAUGUUUUGGUGUAAAUGAAAACACAAAACAUGUAAGUACCCCACUUGCUUCUCAUUUGAAACUUAGUGCUCAAUUAUCUCCGAAAACUGAAGAAGAAAGAGAAUAUAUGGCAAAAGUCCCAUAUGCUAAUGCAAUUGGGAGUUUGAUGUAUGCGAUGGUGUGUACGAGGCCUGACAUUUCACAAGCUGUUGGAGUUGUGAGCAGGUAUAUGCAUGAUCCUGGAAAAGGACAUUGGCAAGCUGUGAAAUGGAUUCUACGGUAUCUUCGAAAAACCGUAGAUGUUGGUUUAAUUUUUGUACAGGAUGAAGCACUUGGUCAGUUUGUAGUUGGAUAUGUUGAUUCCGACUUUGCUGGUGAUUUAGAUAAACGUCGUUCAACUACGGGGUAUCUGUUUACUCUUGCGAAAGCCCCAGUGAGUUGGAAGUCUACCUUAUAGUCUACAGUAGCUGUGUCUACUACAGAGGCAGAAUAUAUGGCAGUUACAGAAGCUGUUAAGGAGGCUAUUUGGCUUAAUGGAUUAUUGAAAGACUUGGGAGUUGUUCAAAGUCACAUUAGUCUAUAUUGUGACAGUCAAAGCGCUAUUCAUUUAGCGAAAAAUCAAGUCUAUCAUUCAAGAACCAAGCAUAUCGACGUAAGAUAUCACUUUGUGCGGGAAGUCUUUGAAAAAGGAAAAAUUCUACUUGAGAAGAUUCCGACAACAGAUAAUCCCGCAGAUAUGAUGACCAAGGUGGUAACAACAAUCAAGUUUAAUCAUUGUUUGAACUUGAUUAACAUCCCGAGAAUUUGAGCACCUUUAGGUGUAUGGCGCUCGAGAGCGCAUUUGGAGGCACUACAAAAGAUAGCUUUAUCAAAUUUGGGGAGUUGAAGGAAGUGUGUGAAGAUGUGAUUAUCCUAAUCAAAUCUUCAAGGUGGAGAUUGUUGAUAAGUUAAAUUAAAAAUGGGUUGAAAAGUCAAAAUGGUGGGAGGUGCAAUUGGCACCGAAAGAAAAAAAAUAGUUGGCAAGUUGUUUAAAGUUGAAAGGGAUAAUUACAAUUUUGGUCCCUAAUUUUUUAGGCCAUUUGCAAGUUAGUCCCUGAACUUCAACUAUAAAUAGGCCUAACCAUUUCUCAUUUCAACCAUCCCAACCAAUCUUUCUCUCUUAGUUUUCUCUCUUCUCCCAUUUGAGAAUUCUUAAGGAAUUCUAUUUGUUUGUAAUAUUUUGGAGAUAGUAAAGUUAUCAUCUGGUGUUAGUGCCCGAGGACGUAGGUAUAAUUUACCGAACCUCGUUAAAUCUCUUGUGUUCUUUCUUGUCCUAUUUUUCUUUCAAUAUUUGAGGGUAUAAUAGUAGUAUUUAAUUGUGCUAUUAAAUUACUAUAGAAGGGAUAUUCUGUCUAAGGAAAGACUUGGUAUUUAAGAGAUCCAUGUGAUCCACCUCUCUUCCCUGGGAAUUGAACUUUGUGUGAUUUUUUAGUACAAUAAUUUACACGCUUCCGACCCUAUUGGAAUAACACAAAUAACAAUAUACCUUUUGUACUGGAAGUUUCACGAUCAAAUUGAUCGAUGACUCCGAGCCCGACUUGGGCAUAUUUAGUCCGUCCGUAAGGCAAAGUAGCUGAAUCUGCAACAUCUAAAUAAAUUGACAAAUGAUCCACAUUGUUCCCCUUGGGGAAGAUAAGAACUCGCCUGCCAAAUAAGUUUGUAAAUCUGAGUCAUAGGGAGAUAAAAACUGGAAAUAAAAACAUAAAGCAACAACAAUAAGAAGAAGAUCAAAGUUACCAUUUGUAGCUAUCAAAUGUAAAAACUUCAGAGUAGAGCUUUUUGUCUACAAGACUGGAGAAAUUCUGAAUCCUCCAUGUGAACUUCUUUAUUUUUACAUCAAUAUCCAUAUAUUGAAACUUACUAUCCACUGCACUCAAAAUCUUAAACAUUACAGAACAUACAUAAUAAUAGAAGAAAGGAUUAUAAGUAGAAGCUAUAUACCUGCCAUUACGAGAGAAUGUGGUGCUACCUGCAGUGCAGAAACGUGGAGGGGAUGAAGAUUCAAGGUUCCUUUGAGUUCCAAGUUUGUUUAAAUAUUGACAAGUCCUCUUCUUUUGUCAAAACUCUAGUUGACUUAAACUACUUAGCCUUUAAGCUAUCCUUUAUUAUUUUCUUUUACUAUUUAUAAAAAUUAAUAGAAAGUUACGUAAAUAAUUUUUAUAUUUAUUUAAAAAAUAAAAAAUGAUGGCAAUUCUAUUAGUUGGGUCACUCAAGUAUUAAUAUAUUUCUAUUUUGGUCAUCUAAUUUCAAACAUUUUCAAUUCUAUCACCAAAAUUAUCAAUGUUGAUUUUUUUUUUGCUUAUAUGUCAAAAAAGCCCUUAAGAAAAUGCAAACAAACAAAAUCAAUUAAGCCCCUAUAUUAAAUUCACACUCAACUAACCUCCUAUCGUUAACUAAAAUAAUCAAUUAAGCCCUUCCAGUAACAAUUUCCGUCAUUGACUACGUUGAUAUUAAAAUAAAUUGAUGGACCAAUUAAAUAGUGACAUGUGGCAACUUUUGGUUUAAUAUAAUAUUUUCCCUUAAAAAUCAUAAAAAAUAAAAAAUUAUAAAAAGAUAUUAAAAUUUAUAUAAACAUAUAAAUAUUAUAAAAAUAUAAAAAAUUAACGAAACCUAUUUAAAAUAAAAUAUAUAUUAGAAUUAUUUAAAAAAAUAUUAAAAUUAUUAAAAUUGUAUAAACUUAUAAAAAUUAUAAAACAAUCAUAGAAACUUGAAUUGUACCAAUUAGCCCAAAGUCUCAAGUUUACCAAUUUGAAAAAAGUCAUUAGAUUGGUUGACUUGGGAACUGGACGAUUGAAUCGAUUUUUUUUAUUUUUUAAUAAUUUUUAUCAAACGAAAAUUUUAUUAUCCAACUAUUAGCAUAUACCAUAAUGAAAUAUCCUGACCAAGGUUUCCAUAAUUGAACAGCUGGUCGAGUCGUUCAAGCCAUUGAUUUUACAGUUAGACUAAUUCAUCCAAUUCAAUUAAAUAAAACAUUAAAAAUAAAAAAUAUAUUAAAAAUUUGAUUCAACCAUCCGGUUUCCAGGUCAACCGAUCUAAUGACUUUCUCCAAAUUGAUACCCUUAUCGAUUUCGGUCUAAUCGGUCAAACAGAUUGAUCCAAUCCAAUUUAAGUUUUUAUGAUUUUUUUUUAUAAUUUUUAUAAGUUUAAAAUUGGACCUUGUUAAAUUAAAAAUAGAUAGGGCAUUUUUAAAAGACCUUGGAAAAUUAAAAACAAUUCGAAUUGACUCAAAACCUAUUAGGCUUAAAACAAAUUUAGACUCUUAAUUUGGGCUAAUUUUAAAUUUUAUUUGGAUUUUUUAAAAAUUAAUUUGGCUCUAAAAAAUCAAUUUGUGUUUCUAAAACAAAUCAAAUUGGACUUCUUUAAAAACAGAUUUGACAACAAAAUUUUCAAAACAAAAUCCAAAUAAAUUUAGGUUUUGAGUAGCAAAUUUAAAGAACAUCAGAUUGGGUUUUGAAAAACAAUAAAAUUGGGCCUUAGCCUUAAUAUCAAGCCCAAAAGGAUCUGAAAACCCAAAAGGAUUUUUACUUAAAAUUCAUUUGAUUUUUGGUAAACCCACAAAUGGUCACCCAACUAUGCACGUGUUCUUGUUCUGGUCACUGAACUUUAAAAAAUUUUAAUUUAAACACUGAUAUUUGAAUUCGUUCCUGUUUUGAUCAGCCACCGUUAAAUUGGUAACGGUAUAAUAACACAUUUAGUCCUCAAUACUUACAUAUUCUAGCAUUUUGAUCUUAAUUAUAAAUAAUUCAAUAAAUUUAACCCUUCACGUUUACAAAUUGUAUCAAUUUGAUUAUCAAACUUACUAAUCAAAGUUUUCAACUUUUAUAAAUGUAUGAACCCCAAAAAAGAAAAAAAAACUUCUCUCAACUAAUGAGUCGUUUUCCGAGCUAAUUCUUGAUACCAAUAAGUUUCUCUUGAAAAAAAUUUAUAGUGUUAGUAUUUUAUAGUGUUGGUGUUGGAAUAAUUUUUGUUAUUGUUUGCGAUAAUAUAAAUUUUUUUGGCCCUUAAACUCGGCUAUUAGGUUCAGUUUUGAGAUUAUGUCACAUCAUUGCUUGAAAAUUAAUACAUAUAAUUCUAGGUGAUAAUAUGGUAUAACCUUAGAGAGUCGCACAUAGAUUUUAAUAAUCGAGCCAAUAAUUCAAUUAGUCAAACUUUUGGUUCUUGAUUCAAUUGGUUUGUUCAGUUUAGUUGCUAGACCAAUAAUUACUAAUGCGACAUUAAACUAUCGGAAAUGGAUAAUAUCCCUGUUUUAUAAAAUCCUUUCUCUAUUGUGGAAUUCAAAUUUUAGUUUUUAAACAAAUCCCAACAUUAAUGUUAUAAAAUAAAAGAAAUUUAGCUAGAAAUAUAAAGAAAUAAAAGAAUGCUAUAAAAGACCAUAAUUGAGAACAUAAUUCUACUUUGUGUUCUCAUUCACUUGAAUCAACUAUGUGUUGGGGUAAAAAAACAAUGAUAAACUUUACAAAAUUAAAGAUAAAUAAAGAGAUAAAUUAAUACAUAAAGAUAAAUAAAUGAUUUAUCUUAGAUAAAUAGAAGUAAUUUAUCUCCUAUUAUAUGUACAUCCACAAUAAUUUAUUAUUUAUAAAUAUUAAAUAUUAAAUUAAAAAUAAUAUAAAUAUAUAUUUUUAUCUUGAUAGAAAGAAAUAAUUUAUCUCCAUGGAUAAUUACAAUAAUUUAUUACUUAUAACAAUUAAAUGUUAAAUUAAAAAUAAUAAUAUGACGGACUUCAAAUAAAUAAAUUUGGGUUAAUUGUUUAUCAUAUUUUAGUCAAAUUGACCCCAGUAUAAACAUUAAAUUAUGCAUACAUUACUAUAAUAAAUAGUGAAUUGCAGCCAAUAUAAUUUUAACUUGAUUAGUAUUGACAUUCUUACUAGUGCAGGAGAAUGUGAUUUUAAAUGCGCUGAAACACAAUUUCGUCUUAUUUAAAAUUUGGGAUAAGCUAUAAAUAGUUCCAUGUAUUAUAUAAAAAAAACUCAUAUUAUAAAAACUUAUAAUAAGAUUAAUGUUUAAAAAAAAAACCAAAUAAAUAAUUUAAGCAUGACCAUAAGAAGAAUACCAUAUUCCAUAUAUACCUCCUACGUAUCAUUUAUAUAAAAUUUAUAUAAUAUAAAGUCGUGUUCAAAACACCAAUACUUAAAUCUUAGCUUCAAUGGAAGAGAUGAAAUCUUUGAUUCUUCCCCAUUCAGCCUCAACACUCUUCUCUUCUUCCUCACCAACCUUGGCAGUGGCCUCACACUCUGCCAAUUCCUUUCCCAAUGCAUCCAACUCCAUUUUCAUUUCCUUGCAACUUCUGUAUAUCCCCUUUCGUUCAGCCAACAUCUUCUCCUUUCUCUUUUGUGCUUCUUCAACUUCCUCACGGAGGGCAGCAAGUAUUUGAUCCACCUGUUUCACCUCUGUUUCGACCUCCUUAUAUCUGAUUAGGCUACUCUCCAAAUUACAAGUCAUCGUCCGCUUGAUAGAUUCCUUGGCGGUAAGUUGAUCCUUGUCCUGCACUGCUUUCGCUGCUCGGUUAGCUAGUUCUUUCAAUCUUUCGUCCAAGCCCAACAACUCAUUCUUUUGAUCAAUUGUAAGGGUGGUGGAGGAACCAUCAAAACUAGCUAGGAUCAUGAAUGCCUGCUUAAGUGGAGAAAACUUCCCUGAAUCGUUAAGAUUAACGGGGGUUGUAUUCAAGGCUUCGUUUAUUUUAGCCAGUGCUUCCUUUGCUUCUUCUUUAGAAUAAACAAUUCUAGAGCUUGAAAGCUCGGACUCUAAGCUAGUGAAGAAUGUGUUCAUGUCUUCC
rnacentral:lncRNA from 1 species